rnacentral:lncRNA from 1 species
AUUUCAUCGGCGAAAGAAUUUAUUUCGUCGGCUAAAGUUCACAGACUAUAGCCGACGACUUUAAACAUUCUUUAGCCGAUGACUUUAAACAUUCUUUAGCCGACGAAAUUUUAAAGUGUUUUAUAUUUGUAGAUCUGGACAGCAGCUCAUCUGGGAAAAAAAAAACGGGAGAAGAAAAAACGGGAGAAAAAGUUUGGGUGUUGUCGAAAUUUGUCCAUAAUUAGUUUGUGGAGCUAUAUAUAGGUACGUACAUGUGUAUAUAUGUUGAUUUUGAGUUUUAUUUGAGUUGAUCAAUUUUGAGUGUGAUUAAAUUGAUAGAUUUUGAGUACGUUGGAUGUAUAUAUAUAUGUGUUGAUCGAUUUGGUUGAUGAUUUGAUAAUAUAUAUGAAGUUGUUCAUAAGUAGUAGAUAUAUAUAUAUAUGUUAAUUAAUUUAUAAUAUUGUGUUGAUGGUAUGAAGUUGUUGAUGAUAUGAGUUGAUGAUGAUUUGUGAUGAUGUUGAUAUAUAAUAUUGUUAUGAGUUGAUCGAUUUUGAGUACGUUGGAUGUAUAUAUAUAUAUAUAUAUAUGUUGAUCAAUUUGGUUGAUGAUUUAAUAAUAUAUACGAAGUUGUUCAUAAGUAGUAGAUAUAUAUAUAUAUAUGUUAAUUAAUUUAUAAUAUUGUUGAUGGUAUGAAGUUGUUGAUGAUGAUUUUGUGAUGAUGUUGAUAUAUAUAAUAUUGUUAUGUAAUUAUUAAGUAUAUAUAUAUAUGUGUUAAUUAAUUUGUUAUCAAUUAGUUAUAGUACGUAGAAUAUAUACUAAAUGAAUUGAAAUUUUAUAUAUGGCAUAUAAUUUAAUUAAUAAUUAGCUACCGUUAUACAUAUAUAUUUUGUUAUAUUUUCAGGAUAUGGAUAUGAGUUGGAUUUCGCUUCCAAAAUAGGACAAAAGAUAUGGUAAAGGAGUUAUGAGUUUUCUGGAAUAUGCGCUGGAUAAUGCUAACGGGAAUACAAUUAUCUAUUGCCCGUGCACGAAAUGUCAGUGUCGCAGCGAUAUGCAUCGAUUUGCGAUUGACAAAGUAUGGCAGCACCUGAAGAGUAACAGGUUUUGGGAGAAGUACACAUGUUGGUUAUAUCACGGUGAAACAUCAUCAUGGGGUCCGCAUGAUCAUGGGCAAUUUUCUGAGACGGGCAGUACAUCCAAUGAUCCAACAACAGCCUUCAUCAACGACAUAUUUCCUUAUGAGAGCGGUGAAUGCGCUCAAGGACAGUAUAUGCCUGACCCGGUGCAGCCCUUCCCUAGAGUUGUCAACACUGCUGGUAUUGACAAGUACAACAAACUGCUUGCUUUCCAACAGACCCCUGUGUACCCCGGUUGUCAGAAGACCGUUCUUGAAAGUGUGAUGGACGUAAUGAAGAUUAAAGUUGAGACAAAAUCGACCGUGAAGGUUGUUGAUGAUUAUCUACAGUACACUGCUUCGAUGCUGCCCCACGGUCAUCGUCUUCCUACCACUCAUCAUAAGGUCCGAUGUAUCCUGAAAGAUCUUGGGCUUUCCUACAUCAAGAUCCAUGCAUGCAGAUAUGACUACGUUCUCUUUUGGGGUAAAGAUCCAGAAGGGAAUGACCUUGGUGGCCUUGACGCAUGUCCGGUAUGUCACACUGACAGUCUGACAGGUAUAAGCUGACUCCUGCAGGCAAUAGGAAACCUGUGAAGGUACUCCGGUAUUUCCCAGGCUGAAGCGGUUGAGGGAUAGGCUGGAGCAGUUGUACAUGUCUUCACACACGGUUGAAGCUAUGAGAUGGCACGCUGAUAGGGGAUUGCAUGACGAAGAUACCUUUAUACACCCUGCUGACGGGGAGGCUUGAAAGCAUAUAGACAGGGAGUUUCCUCAUUUUGCGUCAGAGGUCCGAAAUGUGAGGUUUGAGCUCUCAUCCGACAGGUUUAACCCUUUUGGCAACAUGAGUCUUCAAUACAGUGUAUGGCCGGUGAUUUUGGUACCGUACAACCUUCCUCCAUGGAUGUGCAUGAAGAAGGAAUACAAUAUGUUGAGUUUGUUGAUUCCGGGGCCCGGUUAUCCAGGGAAGUGUCUCGAUGUGUAUUUGAGACAUUUGAUUGAAGAACUUAAGUUUUUGUGGGACGUUGGUCAUCCCACUUAUGACAAGUACAUGCACGAGAUGUUCCAGAUGCAUGUCAUGGUUGUUGGUACCAUCAGUGAUUUUCCUGCCCGUGGGAUGUUGUCGGGCAACGUUGUUAGGGGAUACAAGGCUUGUCCAUAGUGCCUUAGCGAUGAGGGGAGCAGCAGUCAUUGCAACAAGAUAUGCAAAUUGGGUCACCGUACUCUCUUUUCAUAUGAUCACGAAUUGCUGUUUGAUACGCAGGCAUUUGAUGGGACCGUAGAAAACGGUGUGCCUCCCAGAAGAUGGACAGGGGAAGAAGUGCUUAAUGAGUAAGAUUUUGGGCAGCUCAGCAAUCAUCCCAAUAUUGUGGCGGCAAUACCUGAAAGACCCGACAUGUACAAAUUCUGGACACAUAAAAGCAUAUUCUGGGAACUCCCAUACUGGAGUAAGUUGUUGAUCAUGCACUACCUAGAUGUGAUGCACAUAGAAAAGAAUGUUUGCGAUAGUGUAGUGGGCACAAUGCUGAACUUGGAGGGAAAGACGAAAGACGGUCCUAAGGCACGCAUUGAUCUAAAAAAAAUGCAAUUAAGAAGACAUCUGUGGUUGAAAGAAGGGAAGAAAAAAAUGCCUCAAACUCCUUACACCGUGAAGCCUGACCAGAAGAACGUAAUUUUCAAGUGGAUGAGUUGCGUGAAGUAUCCUUCAGGCUAUGUAGGAAAUAUAGCCCGGUGUGUGAACUUCCGGGACAAUAAGAUGUACGGGUUGAAGAGUCAUGACUGUCAUAUCCUGCUACAACAUCUCUUCCCUGUUUUCAUUCGACCGUUCCUUCCCCGUCAGGUGGUGGAGCCGUUAGUAGCGUUGGCAAGAUUCUUCCAGAAGUUAUGCACACAGGAAGUGAAAAAAUCUAACCUCUGGGAAAUGCAAGAGGACAUCAUUUAUAUCAUAUGUAAAUUUGACAGGAUAUUUCCUCCAAUUUUUUUGACAUCAUGCCUCACCUGAUGAUCCAUCUUCCCGGGCAAUUGUUGCUUACCGGUCCGGUCCAGUACACUACACUUGUAUGUAUCCCAUAGAAAUGUACGUUUUUUACAUCUGAAUUCCUCAAUAUACAUGUUCAAUAAUCAUAACACUUUGCAACUUGAUUUAUAGGCAACUUGAAGACUACAAAGAUUAUGUGGCUAAUAAAUCCGCGCCUGAAGGAUGUAUAGCUGAAGCAUAUAUUGCGCACGAGUGCGUCACCUACAUGAAGUUGUAUUUAGGAGCGUUGAAAGAAACUCCGCAAACCAUACCGGUAGAUGUACCGAAGUUCAAUCUUUCCAUACUCUCCAGUGAUGUUGAAGUUUAUGGAAUUUUGCCAGACUCCUACAAGUUGCAACCACAUGAGCUAGUCAUUGCCCACUGGUGGGUAUUGAUUAACUGUCGAGAAGUUGAAUACUAGAAAGACAUCCAUCUAUAUUGUCCAGACAUUCAAGGUGAUCUCGAGUACCACAACAGGGAGUUCGCAAAUUAUUUUGGCGGCUGGGUACGUAAUUCAAUAUUUUUGUACGUGUUUAUGUUUAUUGCAUAAUUAUUCAUAUUUACAGUUGAAUGGUUGGUUGCAGAUGAACCAUAUUUAAUUUGAUGGUCACCCAAAUUGGUCGCACGAACUAAGACUUCUAGCGAUGAAGCCGAUAAUGUCAAGAGUUUAUCAGAUGUGCAAGGUGAAUGGCGUGCAAUUUAUAUGUGAACAGAGAGACAGUAGACGGAGAACACAUAAUUCUGGGGUGAUGGCGCAUGGUGGGCGGAAUGGAGUUGACUAUUACGGUGUUCUCCAUUCAGUGGUGGAACUCGUUUAUGGGCAAGGCAUGACAGUGCACCUCUUCAAGUGUAGAUGGUUUGAUACUAGGCCGCAGAGCAUGAAGACCGAUCAGUACGGAAUAUUAUCGGUGAACAUUGCUACAAGUUGUUACGAAAAUGACCAGUUCGUUUUUGCCACAUCGGUAAAACAAGUGUUUUAUUUUGAUGACCUUGGUAAGGGUGACGCAUGGAAAGUAGUCAACCUUGUGCACCCUCGAAACAUUUACCGGGCGGCUACACUUGGAGACGCCGAAGACGAGGAAGAAGAUGUUACGUAUCAAGAGCCCAACGCAAUAGGUAUUCCUAACUCCUCUACCAUUCGCCUUAAUAAUUUUAAAACAGGUCGUUCGGUGCGAAUUCGUGAAGAAGAGCCAAGGCUUAUUGAUGUUGAUCCAAAUCAAGAAACAGAUGAAGACUCUGGCGAUGAGGAAAUGCAUAGAUUACCAGAAAUUAAUUCUGACACCGAAGAAGACUCAUCGGAUAAUUCCGAUUACGAGCCUUAGUUUUAAUUUAGAGGACGUAAUACAUUAAUUUGUAAUAAAAAAGAAUGUAUUACCUUUAUAGUUUACAUAUGUUGAAUUCAUACAUCUCACUCUUGAUUCUAGAUCGUCAAUUAAACAUGCCAUUAAACGAGAUGAAGAUGGGACUCUUAUCUUUGACGAACGCACAGGAAUGAGAAUUUCUGAUGCUGUUAAUACCUUAUUUUACAUAAUUAUCCAACAUUUUAUAGGAACACCUAGUCAGAUAACAUCCAGAAUUCAUGAUCAACUCAGUAACCUUAGGUAUCCUACCUUAUGUGACUUCAAAUGGUACAAAGAUGUAUUCAUUUCUCGAGUUAUGCUUAGAAAAAGAAAAAUUCAUAAAUGGCCUCCCAAAAUUAUUUGCUCAUAAAAUCAGACAAGUUCUUAGUAAUUAAACAGGUCACAUAAACUACGAUUCUUUAACUUACAGAAAUAUAAUUACAGUAAUCUAAAAAGAAGGAUUAAAAAUGUGUAUAGAUAUGAAACUAAAUGCUCAAAUGAAGUCAGAUAAGAAAACAGCUAAAUAUGAAUUAGGAAAUUUUUGUGAACAAUAUGGCUUACCUCCCUUACCUCCUUCAAGGAAGAAAAAAGUAAGCAAUAAAUUUAUUCCUUAUUAUUCAAAAAGAAAAUUUACACCUUAUAAAAGUAACUUUGAGCCAAACAAAUUUUAUUCCAAAAACAAAUUUCNNNNNNNNNNNNNNNNNNNNNNNNNNNNNNNNNNNNNNNNNNNNNNNNNNNNNNNNNNNNNNNNNNNNNNNNNNNNNNNNNNNNNNNNNNNNNNNNNNNNNNNNNNNNNNNNNNNNNNNNNNNNNNNNNNNNNNNNNNNNNNNNNNNNNNNNNNNNNNNNNNNNNNNNNNNNNNNNNNNNNNNNNNNNNNNNNNNNNNNNNNNNNNNNNNNNNNNNNNNNNNNNNNNNNNNNNNNNNNNNNNNNNNNNNNNNNNNNNNNNNNNNNNNNNNNNNNNNNNNNNNNNNNNNNNNNNNNNNNNNNNNNNNNNNNNNNNNNNNNNNNNNNNNNNNNNNNNNNNNNNNNNNNNNNNNNNNNNNNNNNNNNNNNNNNNNNNNNNNNNNNNNNNNNNNNNNNNNNNNNNNNNNNNNNNNNNNNNNNNNNNNNNNNNNNNNNNNNNNNNNNNNNNNNNNNNNNNNNNNNNNNNNNNNNNNNNNNNNNNNNNNNNNNNNNNNNNNNNNNNNNNNNNNNNNNNNNNNNNNNNNNNNNNNNNNNNNNNNNNNNNNNNNNNNNNNNNNNNNNNNNNNNNNNNNNNNNNNNNNNNNNNNNNNNNNNNNNNNNNNNNNNNNNNNNNNNNNNNNNNNNNNNNNNNNNNNNNNNNNNNNNNNNNNNNNNNNNNNNNNNNNNNNNNNNNNNNNNNNNNNNNNNNNNNNNNNNNNNNNNNNNNNNNNNNNNNNNNNNNNNNNNNNNNNNNNNNNNNNNNNNNNNNNNNNNNNNNNNNNNNNNNNNNNNNNNNNNNNNNNNNNNNNNNNNNNNNNNNNNNNNNNNNNNNNNNNNGACAAUAAAGAAAUUAAACAGGAAUUAAACUUACUAAAAAUAAAUAACCAAUUUCUUAAAUUACAGGAUCCCCUUGAAAAUCCUUUUCCAAAUCCUUUCCCAGAAAAUAAUGAAGCUGAAAACUCUGAAAAUAAUAUUAUUAGUACCAUACACCAAAUCCAGCUUAAAAAAUGGUACACUACUGUCCAACUCAAAAUAAAAGAUUUCCAAAUAACAAUAACAUCCCUUAUUGACUCUGGUGCAGACCUUAAUUGCAUCCAAGAAGACUUAAUAGCUUCAAAAUAUUUUGAAAAAACAAAAGAGUCUUUACGAUCAGCUAAUGGAACAAAAAUGGAUAUUAAGUACGAAAUCCCUAAAGCUCAUAUCUGCCAAAACAAUAUUUGUUUCAAAACUUCGUUUGUCUUGGUAAAAAAUUUAACUGAUAAAAUAAUUCUAGGACUACCUUUCAUUACUUUAAUUUUCCCUUUCAAAAAUGAAUAUGAUGGUAUUAUUACCUACCCUUUUGAUGAACCAAUUAAAUUUACUUUUCUUUCAAACCCCGAAAUCCAUACUUUGAAAACAUUUCAAGAAAAUAAUAUUUCAAAAACUCUCGAUUGCAUUCAAGCCAAAAAUAAACAAAGUCACUUUUCUUCAAGAAGAAAUUAAUUUCAAAAGAAUUGAAAAUCAACUCCAAAACUCUUUCCUUCAGCAAAAGAUCAAAACUUUUGAAGAAAAUAUAAUAAAAAAAAUAUGUUCUGAUAUUUCUACUGCUUUUUGGCACAGGAAAAAACAUAUUGUUUCACUACCUUACAUCAAAGAAUUAAAUGAGAAAAAUAUCCCUACUAAAGCUCGCCCAAUCCAAAUGAGUCAUCAGAUUAUGAAUUUUUGUAAAAACGAAAUUAAUGAUUUACUUAACAAAGAUAUUAUUCGUCCUAGUAAAUCCCCUUGGUCUUGCCCAGCUUUCUAUGUUCAGAAAAAUGCUGAACUCGAAAGAGGGACUUCUCGUCUAGUUAUUAAUUACAAACCCCUUAAUACAGUUUUAGAAUGGAUCAGGUAUCCCAUUCCUAAUAAACGAGAUCUCAUUAACAGAUUAAACAAAUCUGUUAUCUUUAGUAAAUUUGAUAUGAAAUCAGGAUUUUGGCAAAUUCAAAUCAGUGAAGCUGACAAAUACAAAACUGCAUUUGUCACACCCUUCGGACAUUAUGAAUGGAAUGUUAUGCCAUUCGGAUUAAAAAAUGCCCCUAGUGAAUUCCAAAACAUAAUGAAUGAUAUAUUCAAUCCUUAUAGUCAUUUCUCCAUUGUUUACAUUGAUGAUGUUUUGAUCUUUUCACAAUUAAUUGAUCAACAUUGGAAACAUCUUCACCAAUUCUUUUCCAUAAUAAAGAAUAAUGGUCUAGUUAUUUCUGCCUCAAAAAUCAAAUUAUUCCAAACCAAUAUUCGUUUUCUUGGAUUUAACAUUCACCAACUCCAAAUUAAACCCAUUAAUAGAGCGAUACAAUUCGCUGACAAAUUUCCAGAUGUCAUUUUAGAUAAAAAUCAAUUACAAAGAUUCCUAGGAUCUUUAAAUUAUGUAGCAGAUUUUUACAAAAACCUUACGAAACAUUGUAAACCUCUAUUCGAUAGAUUACAAAAAAAUCCUUCCCCAUGGACUUCAGUACAUACAUCCUUUGUCAAAAAAAUUAAGAGUCAUGUCAAAACCUUACCAUGCUUAGGAAUCUCUCUUCCCGAUUCCUAUAAAAUAGUAGAAACUGAUGCCUCUGAAAUAGGUUAUGGAGGUAUUCUCAAACAACAACUUUCUCCCAAUCAUCAUGAGCAAAUUGUUCGAUUUCAUUCUGGGUUUGGAAUCUAGCCCAGUCAAAUUAUAGUACUAUUAAAAAAGAGAUUUUAUCAAUUGUUUUAUGCAUCAGUAAAUUUCAAGAUGAUUUAUUAAAUUAAAAAUUUUUAGUCCGAGUUGAUUGUAAAAGUGUUAAAGAUGUUUUAGAAAAAGAUGUUCAAAACAUUGCUAGUAAACAAAUCUUUGCCCGUUGGCAAGCAAUUUUAAGUAUUUUUGAUUUUGAAAUUGCAUUCAUUAAAGGUAGUGAUAACCAUAUCCCAAAUUUCCUAACUCGUAAAUUUCUACAGGGCGCCACAACAUGAAGUCUAGCUCAUCUAAAGAGAGAAAUCCCGGAAAAUCAAAAGCUACGGCGUCCUCUCCAGUUAAGCCAGAAUCACCUGAGUCAAAAUCAAACAUAGUUCCUUUUACAGGUCAUUCUCCUGUUGCAUUAGUUAACCAGUAUAGUGCUCUUGGUAGCACUCUCAGUCGAAAUAAACCUAGUUACCAAUCAGCUUUAGUCAACCAGUUCGACCCUUACAAAUCAGGCUCCUCAUCUAACCUUCCAAUUAAAUAUAAAAAAUCCUCCCCUUACAUUGUCAGGGCUGAGCAUGGCCUAUUUUAUAUUGAACCUACCUUGAGUCAUCUAAAAAAUCAUGUUUCUUUAAUAAAAAGUUAUUUUGGUCCAACCUUUCAUUACCCUCCAGGUAAACCCUCAUUAGUAUUUUAUAAAGACAUUUUGUAUAAAACCGAGUCAAUAUUCAUUAAACCAAUUCUUGAUCCAAAAGACCAAUCUAAGAUAUUAUAUCAUUCCCUUUAUAUAAUCUGUAUCAUUUCACUAGCCCAAUGGGGUGAUCCCCCUGGCCUCUACUCCCCACACAAUAGACACUCACAUUUACCUAUCAUGAUUACAUCGAAGCAUGGGAUAAAAUAUUCCUCCAUCAAACUGAGGAUUUUAGUCAUUCGUGGUUCCUCAAUUUCGAUAGAAGAUUCAAUCGCCAAUUCCCUAUGUGGUUUAGUAAUUGGUGGAAUGACCAUGGUUGCCCUUAUGAUCUUCUCCCAUUACAACUCCAGAAUGCAAUCACGAAAUUUACUACAGUUAUGACCUUUUCAGAAUAUGAGAAGAGGUUUUCUGCCACUCUUCAAUUCAUGUCCAAGUAUAAAAUUCCUUGGAUUAUGAAAUGGCGAUACAAAAUUGAACCUGAAGAAUAUAUGGUUAUAAGACAAUUCCUAGUAAAAUGGUGGGAUAAAUUCGACCCGGAAAGAGUUUUAACUCAAUUUAGUGAAGAAUUCACAGUUAUUCCCUCGAGUUCAAAAACUCCGGUUUCCAUUUAGCCGGCUCCUCCGAUCUCGCAGUUAACAUCUCCAACUCCUCAGUCACCAUCUUCUUCUAAGAAGACAAAUCAGUCACCAUCUUCUUCUAAGAAGAAAAAAGCCUCCAGUUCAUCUUCAUCUUCUAAAGCAAAAGAAUUAAAAGAUCUGGCUAAGCAAUUACUACAACAAGUAGCAAAUUUAUCCAUAGAUGAUGAAGAAGAACAUUCUCCAUCAGAAUCAUCAUCAUCACACAGUCAUUAAAGUUCCCCUAAUCAACCAAAAAGAUAGGCAGAUUAUGAAGAUAGUCAAGACCCUUAUGCUGAGUUUGAUUAAUUCCAGUCAAGACCAUCUCAGUCAGCUUUUCUACCGAAAUCAACAGUAAAUCACAUGACAGAUAGUCCACUAUUCAUCAACAGUAAAUCACAUGACCAACAGUUACUCCGUGGCAGACAAGUUACUAUUCACCAACAGUCACUUUUUACUAUUCAUCACUUUUGUAAUUUCUAUUUAUAGAGGCCUCCGGCUUCACUCCUAGGCAGGCUUCAUUUUUCUCUUCUCUCUCUCUCUCUCUCUCUCUCUAGUCAAAUAGUCCUUAGCAUAGACAAUCUGCCUGAGUUCUAGUUCUACUCAUGCAUUGAUUUUUACUAUAAUUCGUCGGCUAAAACCAUCUUAGCAGACGAAUUAUAUUUUAAGUCGUCGGUUAAGAUCAGGUUAGCCGACGAAUACCCUAAUAAUUCGUCAGCUUUAUUUAUUUUUUUAUUUUUUAUUACAUACUAUAGCAGACGAAUAUAUUAGGGUAUUCGUCGGCUAAACCCUAAAAUUUUUCUAUUACAUACUAUAGCCCUAUCUUCAGUGGCUAUUUUCUGUAAAAUUUUUAUACGACUUGUUGCGUCUUAUCGAUUUCAAACUAUUUUCAGUUGAAAAUCCAGCCAAAAUACGAAAUUUAGACAGUCCAACGACCUUUUCCGGGCUUUUAGGGGUUUGACUUACGGGAUCGACCGUCCGGAUCGAGCCCUUAACCUUGUCGGAUCAAGUUGAAUUUUUCCCCAUACAUGUAUUUUGUCAUGAUGGUCAGAUCUGACGGUCGGAUUUCCGUUUCUCAAGUUUGAUCAUCACAAUCACAAUUUGCCGAAUGUAUAAAAAGUACUAUAGCCGACGAAGUUCAAAGGUUUAGCCGAUGAACUUAAAAGGUUUAGCCGACGAAUUUGAUCUUAGCCGACGAGAUUAUUAUCUUAGCCGACGAGAUUAUUGUCUUUAGCCGACGAAAUAAUAAUUCCGUCGGCUAAAGUUGUCGGGUAUAGAGACGAACACCCAGCGCUCGAUAGCAGAAAAACCCUAGCCUCCUCUUCCGCCUCCUCCGCCUCCUCUCCCUCUCCCUGUCUCCCGGUCGCCUUCUCCCUCUCCCGGUCUCCGCCUCCUCUCUCUCCUUCUCCCGGUCUCCGCCUCCUCUCCGAUCCCUUUCUCGGUCUCCGCCUCCUCCCUCUCCNNNNNNNNNNNNNNNNNNNNAUUUUGUGUUUGCUUUGAUUUUCCGGUCAAUUGCAAUGUUGUGGUGUUGUUAGGAAGUGUAUAUUUGUAUUUAGGAAGUGUAUAUUUUUAUUUAGGAAGUGUAUAUUUGUAUUUAGUAUUGUGUUUGCUUUGAUUUUCCGGUCAAUUGCAAUGUUGUGGUGUUGUUAGGAAGUGUAUAUUUGUAUUUAGUAUUUUUAGGAAGUGUAUAUUUGUAUUUAGUAUUUAGAAAGUGUAAAUUUGUAUUUAGGAAGUGUAUAUUUUUUUUUGUUCACUAAUUGAAUGGGUUUACAUUGUUUGAUUUUGUGGUGUUGUUACGAAUAUGAAAAUAAGCAUGAAACUUGUCAUGAAAUAUAAAUCUAAAAGUUAGGAGCUUAAAAAAUUAAUUUUUAAAAGUUACAAAUGUAAAUUUUUUUUUCUUCAAAAGGCUGACGCCUUGGUGAGGCACUCGCUCCAUAGCCUCGGCUACGCCUUAGCCUUUUAAAACAUUGGCCUUGAUUCAAAUUAAUAUUUUAAACAGGAUGAGCGGUAAUAUUAGAUCGACAAAGGGUUCGAAGGGCCAAAGGUCCGAAUCGUCUGAGGGAACCUCUAGCAACCCUCAAACGUCGUUUCAGGGCCCCAUGACAGCUAGACGUGCGACCCUUUUGCAGACGGCGCAGAGGCAGCCGGAGGUGCCCCCUUCAUCUAGGCAACGGGGCGUCCCUCAUUCCUCGAGGCAGUUGUGGCCUCACCCAGACGGAGGUGUCUGCACCCCGUAUGCCUGAAAUACACCGGGCGCCCACUCCAGGUCCUACUUCUUCGGAUAGUGGGUCAUCUGGAGUACAGAUGUCGUCGCCUCAUCUGUUCCUUCCGCGGAUGAUACCGGCCUUACCUGCAGUCGAUGGCUUAGGGACGCCGAUUUAUCUACUGCCCCCGCCAGUGGCCCUAUCAGCGGCGUACCGGUUCGUGUCUUUUGAUACGCUUCUUAUUUUCGCGAGGGUAUCAUCAUCGGCGACAGAGACGGAAUCCGUCGCGUCCGCCGCAUCGCCCUCAGGUAAUGAAAGAUGAAUGAUUUGUUUUCUUAAAAUUCUCCGAUUUUAAUAAUCAAUUUGGUUUAUCAUGUGAUAGGAACCGUCGGAGCGAAACCGGCAAAGAAGAAGAGAGGCCCCGUCACAGGGAAGGCUCUCGAGAAUAUUGUCAGUACCUCAGGGAGGAUCGUCAUCCGUACUAACGGAGAUGGCGACAUAGUAUCGGGCGGGAAGUCGAGGACGUACUCCGGCCGCGUGGGAGAGCUCAUUAGGGAUAGAGUCCCUAUGUUGUGGUCAGACUGGGGCGAGGUCCCGCAUGAGGUUAAGGACAUGGUCCACAACGCGAUGUCGGUGAGUUUACAAAAUGCCUCAAUAAUAUUAUGUAUUACAUUGUUGAUUUCUCGAAAAACUAAACUAAUAAACGGUUAAAUGCAGGUGUGGUUGAGGUUCCCGAGCACCUGAAGAGCAACUGGGCAGACGUUAUGCAUGGGGGAAGGUACGUUGGGAAGUUAAUGAAAAAACAAAAUUGUAUGUGAUAUUAAUAAUAUUUCUAAUAUUUUUGUUGUAUCUGUAGGUACAAGGAGUGGAAGUACGAGUUGCAGACCCACUGGACUACGCACGGGAACGCACGUUCUGGUACCCCUGCUGAGUUCCAGUACAGGGAGUACGAGUGGUGUUGGCUUCUGACAUCAGAAUUCAACAACCCUCAUAAACAGGUAUUUAAAAAAAUUAAUUAGUUAAUUUGUCAUUAAGUACGUGCGUUUUUAAAUAUUUUACUAAUAGUUUAUUUUUUUCUUUGAAGGUCGUUUCCUGAGUGAACGCUCAGAACCGGCAACGCAACACAAGGAACCAUCAUGCCAGUUCUAGACCGUUCGCUGUCUUCAUGGGCGAGGCGGCCAGGGAACAUCUAGAUGUCAACCGGUACGUCUAUACGUACGAGAAGGCAUAUCCUGACGCCCAGGAGGAUAUUGUAAGUCAUCUUAUGUUUUAAAUUUUAAUUUUAUUUAUAUAUAUGUCAAAAUGUUAAUUAAUAAUUUUUUUCCUAUUCAAUUAGGCGAAGGUGAGGGAGACUAGUGACGAGGUGAUAAGUGCUAUAAUGAGGGAGACUUGGCCAGACACGCAGGAGGAAGAGAUGUCCGAAGCCAUGUCCCGGAUCGACACUUCGGAUCUAACGGUUGGGGCAAGGAUCAUGGGCACAGCCUUUCCACCGCGAGCAAACAACUUCUACUGCCGGGGUCUAGGAAAGAAGGGCAAGGGGGUCCUGAAGACCACUCUAGGAUUUCAACGAAAUGCCGCCUCGACCAGCAGCAGGACCACGACCACGACCACCAGGACGACUCAGCUAGAGUCUGAAGUUCAGAGACUACGGGAACAGCAAGCUGCUCAGGCUGCCUAUAAUGCCUCGCAGGCAGCCUAUAAUGCCGCGCAGGUAGCCUAUGCUGCUGAGAUACAUGCCAUCCAGCAGGGCCAGCAGCAGCAGAUGCUCCAGUACAUGCAUGACUUUACAGUUGCCCAGCUUCAGGGACUUCCGGCUCCACCCAUGCCUACGGCUAUACCGCUAACCCAGCCGCCGCAACCUCCGCAGCAGCCCCCAGAAGCGGAUAUUAAUUUAGACGAUCCAGAUUUUGUGUAGUUGAUGAAUUAUAUAGUUUUAUGUGCUUGUUGUUGGUUAUAUGGAAUUGUUUUGGUGUAUUUUGCAGCUUGCUUGGAAUGGUAAUUUAGAAAUUCCGGGUUUUUUUUACUGGAAUGGACUUAUAGCCGACGAAAUACGAAAUAAUUCGUCGGCUAUAGUAUUUUAAAUUUUUUUUAAAUAAGGUUUAGCCGACGAAUUAUGGAAUGUUUUGUCGGCUAAACCCUUCUAAAACCGACGAAACAGACUAUAUUUCGUCGGCUUUAGUUAUUUUUUAAUUUUUAAUUACACACUUUAACCGACGAAUAUCUUAAAUGUUUCGUCGGCUAAAGUCUGAGAAAAAACCGACGACAUGUUUUUCGUCGGCUAAACUCUGGGACUAUAGCCGACGAAUAUCUUAAAUGUUUCGUCAGCUAAAGUCUGGGAAAAAAACCGACGACAUGUUUUUCGUCGGCUAAACUCUGGGACUAUAGCCGACGACGUCUUCUAGUUUCGUCGGCUAAAGUCAUCGCCGACGACCUUUUCCCGACGAAAGCUUAGCCAACGAGCCUUCGUCGGCUAAGAUCUUAGCCGACGAAUUAAGCUAACAGGCCGACGAAACUUUUUCAUAGGCUAAAGUGCUUGUCCUGGUAGUGUUUGUUUUUCCCACGGGAAUAAAAAGAGAAGGGAAACGAAAUUUCUUUCCGUUCCAAUGUUUGGUAACAUAAGGAAAAUUAUCCGAAAAGUUAUUAAUUAAAAUAAUAUAUUAUGAGUAAUAAUGCAAGGAAAUAAGAUCAGAAAGUGGUUCAUAUGGAUUUUGAAAAGAACAACUUUUUCUCAAAUUUUCUCAACCUUCAAAAAAGUAUUUCUUUUCCUUCAGCAAGCGUUCCCAAACACAGAAAAGGAAUAACUUUCAUUUCCUGAUGGUUACUUUUUGCGAAUCAAACGAGAUCUAUAAGUGCUCCAAAUGGUAGGAGAAAAUUGUAUCAUAGAUGCAUUUGAUCAUGUACUACUAUACGCACUUGUAUUAUUUUUGUUCUUGUCUAAAUUAUGAGUGCGUAAUCUACAUUUUCUUGACCUAAUUGCUUUUAGAAACUUUUGCCACUUAUUAAGUGUACACAUAGUAGUGACGGCAACUUUUUUCUACUCGCACUCUUUCAGGACAAAAAAAAAACUUCUUUCUACUUGCACAAUAUAACGAAAUAAUUGUAUAACCUAAUCUUUCUUCUAAACAAAACAUGACAUUGAUCUAGAUAUUCCCCAUUGUUGAAGACAUCCUAAAAUUGUAAGAGAUCUGCUUAGCUCAACCAAUUUUCUUGUUAGAGUGGCAGAUUCUAAGGAGGGUUGUCGAAGACGACACUGAACUUCGUUUCUAGGGUUUUGCUUUGCUGAACUAAUGCCUCAAGGUUUACAUUUGACUCAUCCUCCAUUUAGCCCUAACCAGCUCAGCGUUAAAAAAAAAAAAAAAAAAAAAAAACUUCUGACUGACCUCUGCACCUCUCCACGCGUCACCACCUCACUGCACAGAGAUCCACGAGCCCCUGCUGUCUACUCGACACGUGUCCUCCCGGUGUUCCAGUAGCCAAAAAACAGACGGCGUAAAAUAGCCUUGCAUCCGCCUAGUGAGGACAACUGACGCCCCGCGGUGACGUAAAGGGCUCGCAACUUGACUCGUGUGCGACGACGAGUGUGGCCCCAUGGAUCUGAGGAGAUCGCGAUGUCCAACGCAAUGCUGAGUCAGCCCUGACAAAACAAACCGGGCCCGCCGGAGAUUUAAAGUAAUUGGGUUUCUGUCAUCGUUUGGUAAAAUAUAUAAAGGGCAAGUUUUGAGUUUUUCAGGGAAGGACUAAGGAGUUCCGAAUUCUCAGGGAAGGACUCUCCGGCCGAUUAUAAAUAGCAACCCCAUUUUCCAAGCUCAAAAUGACACCACACACCCCCAUUCUCCUUCUUCUUCUUCUUCACCCAGAUUUCGUUUCUUGGUCUCUCUUUUCUUCUGUGAUUCUUCUUCCCCUGGUUUUGAUUCAAGAUGACCAUCCUCAUUGAGCAGCAGCAGCAGCAGCAACCUGAGUUUGGUAUACAUCACAUUACGUUCUCUCUUCAUGCAUUUUACUUUCUUGAAAUUCUUCUGGGAUUGUUUGCUUUCUGGGUUUUUUUUUUUUUGAUAAAAAUAUUGAUAUUGUUAUAAUGAUGAAAUUAAUCCUCUGUGUUUAUGUGUUUUGAUUACAGGAGUUGAAGUUGGAGGAGGGAAGGAGGUUAUUGUCGAUGAGAAAGAAUUGGUCUUGGAUGGUGGAUUUUUGGUGCCACAUACCAACUCAUUUGGACAAACUUUUAGGUUAUUAUGCCUCUUUGCAUUAUGUUCAUAAUUUUCACGUUUUCAUGUUGCCGCAUAAUUGAGUUUAUAUAAAGGAUCUGUUAGAUCUAUGAUGCAAGUCCUCUUUAAUUUUUUGCAGAUUUUGUUUUAAUCAUUGUGCUAUAAAAGCUUAUUGAUAGGACUGAAUCUGACCCCCUGUUAAUGAUUGAACAUAUAUAGAGACAAAAAUAGCUAGCUAGUAAUAUGUAUGAGGCUUUGUUAGGACUUGCAAUUAGUACAAGACAAAAGAGGAAACGUAACACAAAUAUGGAAACCUGUAGAUGCCUAGAACUGAAGCAAUGUUUCACAAAGUGGUCAGUUUGGAAGAUAGAGGGUAAACUGGUGAGAGAUGGACACUGUAUGUUGGAUCAGAAUAGGUUUAUAAAAAAAAAAAAUGAAAUAAAUAAAAAAAUAAAAAAUUGAUCUUGUUUAUCAGAAAAUAUUGAAUGUAUUGCAAAAAAGGACUUCAGUUCUGAUAUUUGCUCUUACUUUCUUUUCAACUACUUGCACAAAUCAAUAGAUAUAUGGAUAUACUAGAUAUAUAUCUUGUCAGGUGGCAAGCAUGAACUUGGGGCUCUUAUCAAGUAGCACAAAUUUCUAGCUAUAAAAAGAUAAAAAAAAUAUUGUAAAAGGUCAUUUUCAUUAAAAGAAUGUGAUAAGGUUGCACAAAUGAACUUGGGCUUUAUGGCAUCCCAAUAAUCCAGUUGGGCCAUGUCUAGUAUUGGGCAUCUUUUUUUUUUGACAAAGGGUUCCUGUUAGCUCACUAUUGUUUACACCUGUUAACUGUGAUGUUCAGUACUUCCUUUCUUUCCUCUCCAGUAAAUUAUAUAUAUUAGAUUUCGUUACUAAUAGUUUUGAAUGGAAUUAAAAACAGGGAUUAUGAUGCAGAAGGUGAGAGGCAACCAAGUGUGGAGAAAUUCUACAAGAUCAAUCACAUUCACCAGACUUAUGACUUCGUAAGUGAUUCAAUUUCUCUUGCUGUUCAUUUCAGUGACACCAUUUUAUUUCCAGUGACGCCAUUUUAUUUCCAUUUUAUUUCCUAUGCUUGUGAAAGUACUAAGUUAAUAGUAAACAUACGCUAAUAUAGGUCCAGAGAAUGAGAAAAGAGUACAGCAAAUUGAACAGGGUGGAGAUGAGCAUAUGGGAAUGCUGUGAACUUCUCAAUGAGGUUGUAGACGAGAGUGAUCCGGACUUGGAUGAACCUCAGAUUGAGCAUUUGUUGCAAACAGCUGAAGCCAUUAGAAAGGACUAUCCCAAUGAAGAUUGGCUACACUUGACUGGCCUUAUCCAUGGUAUUAUUACUUCACUAUGCUACUCAGUUUGGCCUUCACAUAAAGUUAACAGCUAAUUUGAUUACUGAUGAUUUAUUUCAGAUCUUGGGAAGGUGCUUCUUCUUCCUUGCUUUGGGGAGCUUCCUCAAUGGGCUGUUGUAGGUAACUAGCAUCAAAUUCAACUAUAAUACAUUUAUUUUCCAACUGCAGAAUCAUUAAUCAUGAUUCUUAUAACAGGUGACACUUUCCCAGUCGGUUGUGCUUUCGACGAAUCCAAUGUUCACCAUAAGGUACUUCUAUCAUAAAUUUACUGUGCAUCAAUUAUUCUGAAGACGUGUAUAUAAUCAAUUCGAUGAUGUUGUUAUUGCAGUACUUCAAGGAGAACCCCGACUACAACAAUCCGGCUUACAACACUAAACAUGGGGUUUACUCUGAUGAGAGGUGUGGACUCAACAACGUACUGAUGUCAUGGGGGCAUGAUGACUACAUGUAUCUGGUAUAUAUAUCCAAAUCUCAGUUCCUGUAAUAACUUUGCUAUUGGUUAUUUAUCACCAACAAAUCGUGAACAGAACAUGUAUGGCAUUUUCAGGUGGCCAAAGAGAACAAGACAACUCUACCUUCAGCAGGUCUUUUCGUCAUUAGAUACCACUCGUUCUAUGGUAUGUUUAUAUAAUGAGUCCACUACAAAAAUUAACCCCCAUUCAUUAACUAAUUCUGAUACAAAUUCUGGCAUGAUUAUGCAGCUUUACACACAGCAGGAGCCUACAAGCACUUGAUGAAUGAAGAGGAUGUCGACAACUUGAAGUGGCUUCAUGUAUUCAAGUAAGAGUCUACAUUUUUUCUCUUCAUAUUGAAUUCUUAUUAAUUUACAUUCUCUCAAUUUCUCAAUUAGUCCAUGUUCUUCAUUCUGCUGGUAUUUUCUUUAUCUAUGUAGCAAGUAUGACCUUUACAGCAAGAGCAAAGUUCGGGUUGAUGUUGAGAAGGUGAAGCCGUACUAUCUCUCACUCAUAGAAAAGGUAAUUAAGCGCUAAGCACAAUCUUAAUUCAUUUUCAGAACAACCCUGUUCAUAUUUUCUUAAAGUAGUUACUAAAUUUUUGUGACUUGAAUUUGUUGCAGUACUUCCCAACUGCCAAGCUAAGAUGGUGAACUAUAUGCGAGUGGAUCGAUAUGAGCAACUCGCUACAAACAAUAGAUGAGAUUUGGAGCUGUAGUUGCUUUUCCUUUAUGUUUUAUAAAUCUAUAGCUCCUAUGUAUAAUCUUUUAUGUAUGAUGUGUGAUGUAUUACAAUUAUUUUGUUUUUCUUCAAUAAAAUGCUUUGAUGAUAGUACCUCCUGAUGAAACUGUCUAUAACAACUGAAUAAUAGUCCCUCUUUUAUUUUAUUUUUCUUGGCUACAUUCAUGAUGAACUUAAUCCUAAAUUGAAGCAAAAAAGAUUUCAGUGGCAUUGUCUUGCCAUCACAAACAAAUAUGCUCCUGAAUGAAGCAUAUAAACACUUUGAUAUUUCCUUAUAUGAGAAACAGAACAAACCAAGAAUCCUCUCAUGACUUUCAUGGUUCCAAAGUCGGACAAAGUUGUAGACCAGUUUAAGCAAACGAAGCAUCCCACCAAAAACGUUAGCAUAGAAGAAAAAAUGAAGCCUCUAAUAAACAUAUGGGACAUACCUUCUCAUUUUUUUUUGUCAAUUUAGGUGGCUUUUGCAUUUAGCUCUGUUCCCUAAUUUGUCAAAUUUGGCACAUCCUCAUUUUCUAGCUUCUCUCUUCUAUUUGAAGAGUUGCCAAGUCAACUAUGAUCAAUGGAGAAAUUGGACAAGCCUCGAGCUUUAGUGGUGAUAAUAUCAACUUAACUAGUUCGUUAUAUAACGAACACAAUUGGAUUCUAAGCUAGUUAUUUUGUUAAAGAUAUAUAUGAACCGCUCAUAUUUAUAAAUGCGUUAACGAUUAUUAAUUUGGAUGUAAAUUUAUAGAGAUAAUUUACUCAUGUAUACCUUAAAAUUAGACGAUCUUUAAUCUUUAAUUUGGAUAUGUGAUCGAAAAGUGAUUGAAACAAAAAUUCUCACCUUAGUGGUCCUCCUGACUAAAUGCAUAAAUAAAUUGACGAACAGUAUGCCAGUAUUUAAUGGUGAACAGUUGAAAAAGAGGAAGAAAUGAUCUCGAAUGUCAAAGUAUACAUGUUGCAGCCAAGUGCAAAGUCAACAAUCCCAUUCAAACAACGCCUUCGACCCAUCGUCCAUUCAAACGAUCUCUUAUAUAUCUAUGUCGAUCCUGGCUUUGGCCUAUUAUCCUUACUACCACAGCAAGUUUGCUAGCAAGAAUUUUCUUACAAGAAAUGGCAGGAAGUUCUAUGAGGGCUGCUCUGGUGACUCUGUUCAUCUUCGCAAUGGUUCUGUCUCCGAUUACAACCUCCGAGGCUGCUCGGUUCACGUUUCUAGGUAAUUCCCAGAUACCAUCAACAGUAUAACGUACACUGACAAAUGUUGUUGUUUUGGAUUGGGGAAUGUUGAUCUUGAUUUUUAUUUUAUUUUUGCUUUGCAGAUACAACUCCCAUAUGUCCUGCUUGUGUUUGCUGCGCACCUCCACCGCCGGGCUCUUGCUGCGAUUGUUGUGCCUCACCGAUUGAAACUCAGUCCGAGCAAGGGUCUCCAUAGGACAGCAAAUAUGUUUGUCAUGAAGAAGAGUACACGUAUAUGUAAUUAUCUAUAAAUAAUGGGGUUCACGGUGUCAGAGAAAAAGAACCAUCAUUUGUAUGUAGAAAGUGAUGACAUGGUUGUUUCAUAAUGAAGCAAUAAGAUUAAUUAAGAUUGUAUAAGGAUUAUUGUAUCCUUACACAUGUAUACUUCAAACAUAUAUUUCUCUUUAUACAGUAGACAUAUUACAAAUUAGUGAGAUAGUUCUAAUCAUCAUAUUGGUUCUCAUCCUAAUUAGGGCCGGGUUAACUUCAUAUAAACCCAAUGAUUUUUAUACAAAAUAAGACAACAUUAAAUUACAAAAUUCUUACUACAACCAAACACUUAGAGAGUCAAAAUAGAAGGCUUAACCAGCUGCAAGAGGAAGGGAUAUGUCCCAGGCUUGCGUUCCAAGUUGAUGUUCCAACUUUGCAAUAGCUUCCGCCACAAAAAAGUUAGAUUCCCGAUGAACAUGUGUGAAAAAAACUUGUCCAAUUUGAGAGGCAAAGAAAAUGAUAUCUUUGACAAGAACUUGAAUCUUUCAAGGGGAAAGACACGUACCAUUGAUGGAUUGAUAAGGAUUUGUGAAUCUCCUUCAACUAUAAUUUUUGGAUAACCAUGGAUCAAGGCUGCUAAUAAACCCGUACACAACGCAGAAGGUUUAGCAGUAAGUACAUCAUUAUUUUUAGUAGAUGCUAGAAUUGGUUGACCAUCUGCAUCUCUAAUUACAAACCCUGAUGAGGCAGAGUGAUUCUGAACGGAUCUGUCAAAAUUGAGUUUAAGUGUCUGAGGAGGAGGAGCAUGCCAACGAAUAGGCUUAAUAAACCUAUAAGAUUUCUUAGUGUAAUAAGCAUUAACAGUAGAAUAAUAACAAAAAAAAAUUCGUUGCAAAGUAAACAACAUUUUCAGGAUGGACGACAUGGUUUCUAAAUAAAUAAAUGUAAGAUCAUUUCUUGCUUUCCAAAAACCUACCACUAAGGUCCCAAACCCGGGUCCAAGAAUGAGUACGUGUGUGCCCAUAGUCUAAAGCCCAUCUCAUCCCAUCUAAUUAAGCCCCAAACAGCCCACAGUGGAAACCCAAAUGUGCUAUGGACACCCAAUCUUGCCUUGUUGAUGUCCUUCGAUAACCGACUGACUUGGACGACGACCACACCCGAUCGGUUUGGAAAUGCAGCCACAACACCACUCGUCAGAGAACGCCCGUAGCGUACCAUGAUUUAUUGACAUAGAAAGAAAAAACGUUAACAUAGUAAGAAAAAAUGAAGCCUCUGAAUAAACAUAUGGGACAUACCUUCUCAUUUUUUUUUUUUUUGUCAAUUUAGAUGGCUUUUGCAUUUAGCUCUGUUCUCUAAUUUUGUCAAAUUAGGCACAUCCUCAUUAUCUAGCUUCUCUCUUCUAUAUGAAGAGUUGCCAAGUCAACUAUGAUCAAUGGAGAAAUUGGACAACAAGCCUCGAGCUUUAGUGGUGCUAACUAGUUCGUUAUAUAACGAACACAACUGGAUUUUAAGCUAGUUAUUUCGUUAAUGAUGUAUGAACCUUUCACAUUUAUGAACACGUUAAUGAUUUUCAAUUUAGAUACAAAUUUGCAGAGAUGAUCUACUCAUAUAUACCUAAAAACUAGACGAUCGAUCUUCAAUUUAAAUAUCCGAUCAAAAAGUGAUUGAAAUAAAGAAGUCCUCAACUUAGUAAUUCUCAUUAAAAAGGGCUAUGAAUCCGUAAAAUAAAUGGACGAAUUGUAUGCCAGUGUUUAAUGGUGAACAGUUGAGAAAAAGAGGAAGAAAUGAUCUAGAAUGUCAAUGUAUACAUGUUGCAGCAAAGUGGAAAGUCAACAAUCCCAUUCAAUCAACGCCUCCGACCCAUCGUCCAUUCAGACAAUCGCUUAUAUAUCUAUGUCCUGGUUUGGCCUAUUAUCCUUGCUACCACAGCAAGUUUGCUAGUAAGAAUUUUGUUAUACAAGAAAUGGCAGGAAGUUCUAUGAGGUCUGCUCUGGUGACUCUGUUCAUCUUCGCAAUGGUUCUGUCUCCGAUUACAACCUCCGAGGCUGCUCGGUUCACGUUUCUAGGUAAUUCCCAGAUACCAUUAACAGUAUAACAAUGUAAACGUUGUUGUUUUGGAAUGGGGAAUGUUGUUCUUGAAUUUUUUUGCUCUGCAGAUACAACUCCCUUAUGUCCUGCUUGCGUUUGCUGCGAUUGUUGUGCCGGACUGAUUCAAAAACAGUUCGAGCAAGGGUCUCCAUGAGAGAGAGAGAGAGAGUUGUUUUAAGGAGAGUAUAUGUAUAUAUCUAUAUAUGGGGUUCUUAGUGUUAAAGAAAAAAUAAUCAUCACACGUAUAGAGAAAGUUGUGACAUGGGUUUCUAGCUCAUGGGGAAACCAUGUUCUAUCAAGGUUUUGGUGUUUCAUAGUGAAGCAAUAAGAUUAAGCUUGUAUAAGGAUUAUAUAUUGUAUCCUUAGACAUGUAUACUUCAACACCGUUAUAAAGAGAAAUAUAUGAAAGACAUACAUAAGUUAUCUUAGCGUUAUAAGGAGUGUGUAUUAUCAUUUGAAUCGAAAUUAUAGGCCGAUUUGAAGAUUGGAAGUAUAAAAAGUUCUUGUGAUUAUCCCUAAUUACAUACACCUUCCAACUAGGGCCGGGCGCGGGCCAAGACCGGCCACAGAUUUGGCAAGACCGGGACCGGACCGGCGGUACAGAAACUGGUCCAAGCUUCCACCUGAAAAUUUCCCAGACUGACCAAAGCCCAGACCAACCAAAAACUGGCCGAUCCUUCGGGCCUUCGAUACUUCACAAUGCGGUCUGAAAAUUGAAGCUCACACUAUGACACUAUCAAUCAAAAAUGACUCUUUCAGUCUUCAAUUUCAGUUUCAGCCUAAUUCAAAGUUCAAACUCAGAGAGAAGAAACUAGAAGAUGAAGAAGACGACUCACAUAUCGACUAUGGUUAACGUACAAUGGUCGACGAAUUCCAGUUUUAGGAUUUGAUAAAUGGGGUUGCGUUAGACUGUGUCUCGAACGGUGGUCGGUGUCAGGGUAGGCGGCGGCUAGGGUUUUGGUUUGUUGAUGGGGACCUUGAUUCUGCACAUGGAAAGGUUGAUUUUGUGGCUCUGGGACUCUAGGUAGGAUUAUGAAGGGAGAUUACGAAUUGGGUCAACAUGGAUUGAGGGUUUGGGGUUGGAUUGAGAAUUAGGUUUUUUUCCUCAGAUUGAAGAAGAUGAAGAUGAGUUGGGAUUUUGGGCACGACUGAGGGUUUGGGGCGAUUGAAGAAGAUGAAGAUGAAUCGGGAUUUUAGGCACAACAGAGGUUGUGUUUAUUUUAUUUUUAUUUUUAUUUUUCCGAUGAAAGACGAAGUCUGAGUGUUUAGGUUUAGAACUUUGGGAAUCAUAAAGGAAAUUGACUUAAUUGAGUGCUUCAAGUAAAAAAAAAGAAAAAGAAAAAAAAAGGAAAAUGAAUGGAUUUGAAGCUAUUUGCAUGUUGGGAAAGUAGAAAAUAUAUGUCGGGCUUUCGGGCCGUGAAAAGCAAAUAACAUUAGGGACUGGGCCCUGUCGGAACUUGACUUUUCCUGUAACAAGCCCUGAAAAAAGCCCGACUCGACCUGACCGGUCCGGGUCGGUUUACCGAUUUUUUUUUUAUUAUUUAAUGGGCUUUAUGCCCAGCCCUACUUCCAAACAUUUAACUUGACCCACCUGAUUUCAUAAAGGUUACAUGGAUCAUCAGUGAGCCCUGACAUAGUUAGUUAGCUAGGUUGUCUAACUAACAACGUUGAUAUCAUAAGUUCAAACAUUGCUGAUAUAUUUUUAAGGAAAAAUAGUCAAAACAGUGUCUCACAUUUUGAAGAAGCAAAGCUUUGGUAUCUCACAUUCAGAAAACUUUAAAACAGUAUAUAUCUCACGUUCUUACCUCGACCAAAGUUUGGUAUCUAGAAUCGUUAGCUCCGUUAAAAAAACCGAUGACAACCAUUUUUAUUCAUGAAAUGACCAAUAUACCCUUGAGUUUUUGUUUUUGUUGUUCUUUUUAUAUAAUAAAAAGAGAAAUUCGUCAUAACGGUACCUCAUCUUUUCUUCCUUAUAAACUUUGGUACUUUAAGUUUUGAUAACAUCAGAACGGUACCUUAAGUUUUCACCCCGACCUAAUUUUAAUACUUUUAACCGUUAGUUCUGUUACGGGGGUUGCUAGGUGGCAAUUUUUAUCUUUUCAAGUCUUCAUUCAUUUUUUUACUUUUGAAACACAAACAAAUAUUCUUGAGUUAUUUUUUUCAUGAGUUUGCAAUUAAUGAAAUCCAUAAAUAAAAAUAAAGAUUCCUGAGAUUUUAUUUUUUUCAUUUCGUAUGUUGCUUGUCAUAACAUCAUAAACAUUCAAUAGUAAAUCUCUUGUAAAAACUCACUUAAUAAAAGAUUUAAACAUCUUUCUCUUCAGCUCUGGUCUAGAAAAGUAAUUCACCUUUUCAAUUCUAUUCGAUCCAACUCUUUUCGUGAAGCUCCUAAUUUCCUAAAGAUAGAGGAAAGAAGAAGAUAACAAUUUUCCCUCUACAAAAAAAAACCAUUUUUUAUUAUUAUUACAGAGAUGAAAUAUAUAUUUAGAGAAAAAAUAAUGAAUUGAAAUAUGAAGAGACUAAAAAUACCCAUAAAAAAUGGCUAGCUGACAGUUCCUUUAUCGGAGGUUACGGCUAAAAGUAUUAACAUUGGGUCGGAGUGAAAACUUGAGGUACCGUUCUAAUGUUUUUAAAACUUGAAGUACCAAAGUUUAUAAGCAAGAAAAGAUGAGGUAUUGUUAUGACAAAUUUCUUUUGAAUAAGAAAAACAAAAACUGAAGGGUAAAUUAAUCAUUUUAUGUAUAAAAAUGGCUGUCGAUAGUCUUUUUAACGGAGCUAACGGUUUUAGAUACCAAACUUCGGUCAAGAUAAGAAUGUGGGAUAUUGUUUUGAAGUUUUCCAAAUGUGAGAUAACCAAAGCUUUGCUUUUUUAAAAGGUGAGACAUUGUUUAGACAAUUUUCCUUAUUUUUAAAUAAAAAUAAAAAUUAAAAAAUAAUGGUUAAACGGGCUCAUUUUGUGUUGGUUUUGUAUCAACAUGCGAAUGACCUAUUUAUUAAACGGGCCUUGACGGGCUGUUUUCCAAGUUGUGGCAGAAUUGAUAGCAGCGGUAGGGUUGACUUGAAUUGUGACCGAUAGCUAAAAUCUACAAAGUGAGGUUGCAGCUUCCUCUGUUUUCAUUGGAAGAACAGAGAAAAAGCGAGGUGAUGGUGCUUAUACUGAUGUUCAAACUUAUCCUUUUCGCCUUGCUUUUUGCUUGGUUUUGUGGUAUACGAUCAAUAGGCAUUACCGAUUUUACCCAAAACCAGAAUUAAUUACUUGUUUUGAUCAUUACUUCAUGCCUUACUUCAUUAGUAUAGUUGUCUGCGGUUUGAUCACUCAGAUUUCAUCAGAUUGGCCCUCUGGACUGCCAACAUGUCCUCUCAGAUGAACCUUCUGAAAAUUAUUGUGUAAAUCAGUAAAUCUCAUCAGCCUUAUUCCUGAAAGGAGAUGGUUCAACUCUCCCUCCUUUCACCAAUGCCACUGAGGUCUACAUACAUGGUAAGGCAUAUUCAUAGACUUUGUCCAUCAAAUUUCAAGUAUGCAUGAUUGAAUUCACUGAAUUCAGUAUAUAUGAAAAUCAUUGUGGUUGCCAUCACGAACAUGAAGUGGGUAUGAAUUGGGAAGGAGACCUUUUGUGAUCCCCAAGAAUACAUUACGGAAAUGUUGCUGUUCAUAGAAUGGUAUAUUGAAAAGUCGAGUAUACAUAGAGCUAGUGACAAACUUGUAUAGAAUGAUCUGACUCAUUCACAUACUAUUUCCUUGACAUAAAAGUCAGAGAGGAGGAUUGGUAGAAGUUUGGGAAAAGUUUCUUCUUCAUAAUUCAUCCCAAGUUGCACUUCAUACACUAGUGAUUUGUUAAUACUUAGUCGUCUUCACAACCAGGAUCACACACACACACACACACACACACACACACACACACACACACAACAAAAAAAACCAGAAAAAAAAAAAAUGUUUAGACAUAGUUGACUACAGCAAGCUAAGCUCUCUUAGUUGGUAGAAGAACUACUUGGUCCUCAACUAAUAGUACCCUGAUGAUCAUUGUUGAAAGCAUCAACUUGGGGAUUUCAUCAUAGAUGACCAAACUCAUGAACUUGCCACUAAUUCUUUCAAGUCUGGAUAUACCAUGACUUGAUCGACUAGUAGUAGUUCCCAUCUGCAUACUUCUUUCCCAAAUUCGAGUCUGAAACGUCUCACAAAGCGUGUAACGAUGUGGCAGAGAUUUAAGCAGUUCUUUCUCUUCGUAGUAUUCGGUUGUUUUGCUCUUAAUAUUCAGCUUCUAGUUCAUGCUCAGGAUGAUCAAUCAGGUAUACUAUCAGCAGUACAGGAACUUAUCUUAGUAGUAUUUUAACUAUUUUGUAGUGUAAAAUUUUCUCAGACACACACACACAGAGUUAUACACACAUAUUUUUGAUUCAAUGAAUUUAACAUCAUUCAAUUUUGAAAAUGACGAAUUUGAUACAUGGAUAUCAUCCCUUAUACUUAAGAGCUAAGAGUACUAACAACUCUCUCUGUGUCUGUCUGAUUAAGGCUUCAUUAGCAUCGACUGUGGCCUACCAGAAAAUUCAAGCUACACUGAACAGACAACAGGCAUUCAUUACAUCUCAGACGCGGGAUUCAUAGACACCGGUGAAAGUAAAUUGGUAUUGCAUGACAACAGAGAGAGCUAUCAACAACCUUACUUAUCUUUUAGGAGUUUUCCCAACGGAACCAGAAACUGCUACAAGAUAAGUGUGGCAAAGGGCACCAAAUAUUUGAUCAGAGCAAGUUUCUACUAUGGGAAUUAUGAUGGUCAAAAUGAAAUACCAGAAUUCGACCUACAUCUUGGGCCUAAUUACUGGGAUACAGUGAGGUUGAAGGAUGCGGACACUACAACACACAAGGAGCUUAUACAUCACACACUACGGCGGAACUACAUACAUGUUUGUCUGGUGGAGUCAAACAAAGGUAUUCCAUUUAUAUCAGCAAUAGAGCUAAGGCCUUUACCUAACGAAACUUAUGAAGUGAAGGACUACUCCUUGGCACUAAUCUGGCGAUAUGACACUGGUCAAAAUUCUAAACAGUACAGGUCAGUCAUUUGCUGGGAAAUCCCUAAAGUUGCGAGAAUUUUACCUAUCAGUAUAUCCAAAUUCCAUGGAAUCUUAUUUAUAUUAAUUUUCAUUGGAUAUGAGAUAAAAUUUAAUGGUGAAAUAUGUCUAUAUAGGUAUCCAAGUGAUGUUCAUGAUCGUAUAUGGUAUCCAUUUGACCGUGAUGAUUGGGUACAAAUAAAUACCUCGUUAACUAGCACCACCGACGACAAUAGCUACCAAGUUCCAUCUGUUGUCAUGUGUAGUGCUGCAACACCCGAAAAUCCAGAUGAUUCCAUGAAUAUUUUCUGGCUACCUUCUGAUAACAAUGCACAGUAUCAAAUUUAUAUGCACUUUGCAGAAGUAGAAAAGCUCCAAGCAAAUGAGUCUAGACAACUCAAUAUUACUUUCUAUGGAAACCUCUAUUAUGGACCAUUUUCUCCUGAUUACAUGUCGGCCAUAACUAUUUAUAGCGUACGGGCUUGGAGUCCAACAGGAGAAUAUAUAAAGUUUUCAAUCUUGAAGGAUUUGAACUCUACCCUUCCACCUAUCCUCAAUGCUUAUGAAAUUUAUAUGGUCAAGCCGGCUUCCCAAUCAGAGACAAACCAAGACGACAGAGUAAUUCUUUCCUUUCACAAUUAAGCUAAUUACUUUCUCAAGUCCAUUUAGUACAUAUGAGAUCGAAUUUGAUCACAAUUUUGUUUUGGAUAUGAAAAAAUAGUUGAUGCUAUCACAAAAAUCAAGUCGGCUUAUAAGAUUACAAGAAACUGGCAAGGGGAUCCAUGUUCCCCUCAAAACUACUCUUGGGAAGGCUUGAAGUGUAGCUAUGCUGGAAACAUCACGAGAAUAAUAUCCUUGUAAGUCUCUCCAUGCAUAAAUCUCCAUUCUGAGUUCAACUUGUAUAUAUAUGUGUUAUAAACUGGACAGCAAAUAUUGCAAUAAGCUUAAUAGUCAAGGGAUACAAUGUACAGGGACUUGUCCUCUAGUGGACUGACAGGGGAGAUAUCUCUUUUUAUAUCCAAUCUCACGAUGAUAAAAACUUUGUAAGUAUAUAUACUUGCAUACCUUUACUGUGUGUCAAUAAUGAAGUUAGAAUGAACGCUAAUCUGAGUUGAUAAAAUCACAUUGCAAGUAUAAUAGUCUCUUUCUCUCAAGUGGAAAGAUACUGAUAAGUUUACCAAAUUAAAUGACUACGUACUGCUCAUGAUUUCAGAGAUUUAUCGAACAACAACCUAAGAGGAUCAAUUCCAGAGUUUUUGUCUCAGUUGCCAGAAUUGAAAGUUCUGUAAGUUAUUUCUUUUGGUGCGCAUAGCCUAAAAAGUGAGGUUGUUCUUACAACUAAGAGUUGAGAUUCAUGUUAAUUUGCAGAAACUUGGAAAAGAACAACUUCACAGGUUUAGUUCCAUCAAGACUCAUUGAGAGAAGGAACAACGGUUCACUGCAGCUAAGGUGUGUUUUUUUACAUAUGAAACCACAAACCUUCAAUUUUCGCAUCACACACUUCAAAACCAUGUCAUAACUUAUCUUAGCAUAGAGAUGCCACAAAAUUUCCACAUCUGUUACAUGCAUAGAGAUGCCACAAGUUUUCCUUUCUAACACAACAUGAUCAGAUAUAUAUAUAUAUAUAUAUAUAUUUCCAUUGAAACUAGAUUACAUGCAUCCUCGUCUUACAUACGCAUUUAUGUUUUUAACAAGAAUAACUGAACUUUUGCCAUCAACCUUUUGAUGCCAGUUUGUGUGAUAAUCAUCUAUCCAUACAAGUUUCAUGCAAGAAGAAGAAGCACAAUAUUUUUCUUGUCGUAGUGCCAAUUCUCGUAAUUGUCAUCCUCUUAUUGACAAUAGGAGCUGUCUUAUUGGGCCUUAAAAAGAAACAAAACCUGGUAAGACUUCCAAAUGUAUAUUGAAGUUUUUGUUUUCCUUUUGUUUUCCAUAUUUAAUAAGGCUUAAGAUUCCAAUUACAGAUGUUUUUUCUUUAUCAGAAGAGAAAAAAAAAAAAAAGACUACAAGAAUGUAGCUCAUUAACCUUGUAAAUAAUGAUGUUAGGUACGUUAUUGUUCCUGGUAUAAAUAAAGCAAUUCGAAUCGUUUUGGUGUGCAGAUACCCAGAAUUCCAUCCAAAGCUGGUCGUUGGAGCCAGAGGGUCAACGCUUUACAUACUCAGAACUUGUGAAGAUUACUAAUAAUUUUGCAUCAAUCAUUGGGAAAGGCGGAUUCGGAAGAGUCUACCAUGGCACUCUGAAGAAUCAUAUUCAAGUCGCUGUGAAGUUACUGACUUCUUCAUCAAGGCAAGGCUCGAAAGAAUUCCAAAAUGAGGUAGCUAGACAUGUUACAGUAAUUUAUACUAGUUCUUGAUGAUCUAGAUGUUCAAAAUCUAACGAUACAUAUAUGCACUAGUAGUAUAUGACUAUAUGCGCAUUGCAAGAUUUGCGGCCAUAUUGCUAACUGUUGUGGCCAUAACAAAUUGCAGGUCAAAUUAUUGAUGACGGCUCAUCAUCGAAACUUGGUUUCUCUCAUUGGUUACUGCGACGAAGGUGACACUAUGGCACUUGUUUUUGAGUAUGUAGCCAACGGAAAUCUGCAGCAACAUUUAUCAGGUGGUCAUGAUCACUAAGAUGAGCUGGUUAACUAGAUUCACUAUGUACUUAUCUAUAUAUUGUACUCAUCAGUCCAGAAUCAUCAUAAGAAAAUUGUUGAAUCCUAGCCAUAUGUAACUAAUGCAAGACCAUAUGCAACUAAUCUCGGUGCAGAUCUGACGUUAAACGUUUUGACUUGGAAGGAACGACUUCAAAUCGCCGUGGAUGCAGCACGAGGUUAACACUGAAAUUACAAUGAAAUCUUAAUAAAAGCAUCAAUGUAAGAACUAGUAAAGUCAAUCAUCAGUUACCUUAGUUAAAAUGUCAUUUUGCAGGGUUGGAUUAUCUACAUAAUGGUUGCAAGCCACCUAUAGUCCAUAGAGAUCUGAAGGCUUCCAAUAUCUUGUUAAAUGAAAAGUUGCAAGCCAAGAUAGCUGAUUUUGGUCUUUCUAAAGUUCUUGCAACUGAAAGUGCCACUCAUAUAUCAACUGAUGCCAAAGGAACAUUCGGGUACCUUGAUGCUGAGUAAGUACGAAGUUGCCAAAACAAGAAAGUUAUCUACUAAUUUACAUGCAUUUCAAAUUUCUAUUCUUAAAACUGUACAUAUAUAUAUAUAUACAUAUAAUUAUAUAUAUCAUGUAAAACAACUCAUUAUAUCCAUGGCUUUAAAAAAAACUCAUUAUGAUAUUAGACAUUGACAUUUUUUUUUCCUUCAUUCUGGCGCGCCAGAUACUGCAAUACAGGACAGCUCAACAAAAAGAAUGAUGUAUACAGCUUUGGGAUUGUGUUGCUGGAGCUAAUAACUGGCAGAGCAGCCAUAAUAAGAGAUGUAGAACCGUUUCCUAUUCACAUAUGUCAAUGGGUGACUCCUAUAUUUGAGAAUAUGGAAAUUGAAAAGAUAGUUGAUUCAAGAAUACGGGGUACCUACAACCAUUUUUCUGCUAGGAAAGCUAUAGAAAUUGCCAUGGCAUGUGUGCCUUCAUCAGCAAUCCAAAGGCCAGAAAUAAGCUCUGUGUAUGUUCAAUUGAAGGAAUGCUUGGAAAUUGAGAUGACCUCUGAACAAGUAACAACAGUUACAGAGGUUCAUGAGAGCGAUGAUGAUACGAAUUCAAGUAGUUCAGCUCUUGUAACUUGACAUGUGGAGUCCGAAACAUAAAGUACUGCCUUUUAUUUUACCCUUUAUCCCACUAUGCAUGGAAUUUAUAUAUAUGAUGUUCUUCUGUUCAAUAGAAUUUUUAAUGUAUAAAACACAAAAAAAAUUAUCCGCGCAUCUUUAUUACUUCAUACACAUCUUCAAUUUUUUUCAAAAAUUUAAAUACUUUUGUACCUUUUUUUUUUGUAAAAUAGAAAUUUAUUCGAUUCCAAUCAAUAGCCAGAAUAUUACCAAUGGCGAGGAGUAAAAACUCCAUACAUAAAUUGCGAGCACACAACUGAACUAGCUUGAACUUGUUCACGAUCCACUCAUUCAUUAUGAUCAUCUUAUAAUAUAAGAUUGUGAAAUCCACACACCAUUUUUUCCUUUUUAGUAACUUAAAUUUCGUCUUUUACUGACUUACACUUUAUCUUUUUGUGAAUAUGUUAACCAAAAAAGAAAAUAGAAAAUUUCAUAUAAGUCUACAUUGAGACAUUUUAUUCCGCAUAAGUCCACCUCAACAUUUUUACCCAUACAAGUCCACUUUACAGGCUCAAUUUUUUUAUCAUGACUAUCUUACCCUUAUGCUUCAAAAUAUCUCAUAUCUCUCACAUCUCACCCAUUCAUUUGGUUUUUCUCUCNNNNNNNNNNNNNNNNNNNNCUCUCUCUCUCUCUCUCUCUCUCUCUCUCUCUCUCUCUCUCUCUCUCUCUCUCUCUCUCUCUCUCUCUCUCUCUCUCUCUCUCUCUCUCUCUCUCUCUCCAUUCUUCCACCUUUGAUUUUGACGCUGUCGCUAGGACGAAGCCACCACCACCUCGACGACGAUUUUCUAUCAUCCUCGAUUUUAUUUCUGACGAUGACGCUGGAAUUUGGAUCGACCGUCAACGAUGCCUCGACGACCUUUUCUUCGGCCUCGAUCGCAUCUACAAGAUCCAACUGAUUACGACAACGACAUCGUCCACCUCCUGCUCGGCGCCCGACUAGUCACGCGCCUCCUCUACUAAAGUAGAGAUCUUCUGCGCCUUAGUAGAUCUACCAGAUCUUUCUCCCCAUAUCGUCGUUGACCUUCAUGGUGGCAGAUCCACCGUCGACGGCGAAGACGUCAUCUUAGGGUUUCAAUUUUCAGUGUUCAGAAGCGGUCUGCCGGAGGUUGGCUGGAGGUCGGCUCCGGUCCUACAUCGAUUAUCUGCCCUCAGAUUUCUCCAUAUAUAUUUGAUAGUUUUCCUUGGUAGCUUGUAUAGUGUUUGAGUCCAUUGCAUGGUAAGAUGCGUUUGUAAUUUGGCUGGAGUCUAUUUUCUUUGGUUUUGAGAAAUUGUAAACAAAGAGUAGAGUGAUGUUUUGUGUUGAUGUUGCUCUUCAUUCGAUAGAAAUUUAGUGGAAGAGAAAUAAUGUGAUCGUGUUCCGAUAGUGUAUGAGAUGAAUGCAAUCAAAAUUUCAAAUUUGUAAAGGUCUUAGAGUGUAGUAUAUUUUCAACACAGUUGUAGUACAUUUUUGUCAUUGUGGUAGUAUAUUUUGACAGAUCGAGUAGAUUUUGUAUUACUUAGAUAGUAUUUUUGUUGGUGGUUGUAGUAUAUUUUGUGGGUUAUGGUAGUAGCUUUUAUUGGUGGCAAUAGUAGUUUUGGCUGCUGGUGGUAGUAUAUUUUGUUGCUGACUGUAGUAUUUUUUGUUGGUGGCAAUAGUAGCAUUUUUGCUGGCAGUAAUAGCUUUUAUUGCUAAUGGUAGUAGUUUUCUUUGCUUGUGGUAGUAGCUUUUUUUGCUCUCAGUAGUAUAUUUUGUUGUCAGUGGUAUAUUUUGUUGUUAGUGGUAGUAGCUUUUUUUACUGACGGUAGUAGUUUUUGUUGCUAUCGGUAGUAGCUUUCUUUGCUGGUGACAGUAGCUUUUUUUGCUAUCAGUAGUAUAUUUUGUUGUCAGUGGUAGUAGUCUUUUUUUGCUGGCGGUAGUAGCUUUCUUUGCUGGUGGCAGUAGGUUUUUUUUGCUAUGAGUAGUAUAUUUUGUUGUCAAUGGUACGGUAGUAGUCUUUGUUGCCAUCGGUAGUAGCUUUCUUUGCUGGUGGUAAUAAUUUUUUUGCUAUCAGUAGUAUAUUUUGUUGUCAGUGGUAGUAGUUUUUUUGCUGGCGGUAAUAGCUUUCGUUGCCAUCGGUAGUAGCUGGUGGCAGUAGCUUUUUUUGCUAUCAGUAGUAUAUUUUGUUGUCAAUGGUAGUAGCUUUUUUUGCUGGUGGUAGUAGCUUUUGUUGCUAUCUGUAGUAGCUUUUUUAUUAGUGGCAGUAGCUUUUUUGCUAUCAAUAGUGGCAGUAGCUUUUUUUGUCUUUUUUUUUUGUCUAUCAGUAGUAUAUUUUGUUAUCAAUGGUAGUAGUUUUUUUUGUCUGGUGGUAGUAGCUUUUGUUCCUAUCGGUAAUAGUUUUCUUUGCUGGUGGCAGCAAUUUUUUUUGUUAUCGAUAGUAUCUUUUGUUGUCAGUGGUAGUAGCUUUCUUUGUCGGCGAUAGUAUCUUUUGUUGUCAGUAAUAGUAGCUUUUGUGGUCGCUAGAAUCCUCACAAAUGGUUGGCCGAAAAAUUCGCCGGAGGUCGGCCGGAAAGUUCAUCGGAGGUCGGCCGGAGUCCUCGCCGGAAGUCAACCGGAGACCAUUUGUGAUUGUUGACCUUUUAUAUUAGUGGUAUUUUUGUAAAUAUAAGAGAGAAAAUCUAAUUUUUUGGUUGGAUGACAGUCUGUAAUUUUAUUAAACUUUAAUACCUAAUAUAAGACUUUAUUUAGGCUUGGGUGGACUUAUGUGGGUAAAAAUGUUUAGGUGGACUUAUAUGAGAAAAAAUGUCUCCAAGUAGACUUCUAUGUAAUUGACCCAAAUCGUUAAUACAUUCAUAAGUGUGAUUCACCAAUUAUGAAUUUUAACGGUUCAUGUUUGACAGAUUUGGUUCGUCCAUUAAUUUGAUCUAGUUUGUUACUUUAACGAUCACCGAUUUGACUGAAAAUUGGUAUGACCAAUCUAUUUAUAUAGGCUUAAAAAUUGAACGGAUUAGAUGUUAAGAUGUGAUAAUAAAAAAUGUUUUUUAAACCAUAAACUAAAAAGUUCUCAACUUAAGGUCCUCACUAAAAGAGCUCUCAUAUAUAGUCAAAUAAUAUAUAAUAUAAUUAAGUCUUAAAAAUUCCUUAAAUAAUGGUCAACUUUCCACAAGAAGCAUGCCGCACCAAGGAUUAAAAUCUCUGCGAUAUAUCUGAUAGAUAUAUUUUUUUUCUUCGAAUGACCGAUAUAUCUAAAGGGUAAAUAUCUUAUUAUCUUCUACCAUAUCUCUGAUAUUUCUCUGAUACCGUUAAAUAUUAAAGAUAUUUAUCUCCGAUAUAUAAGAAAUAUCUCUGAUAUUUAGGAUAUUUAAGAUAUAUUUUUGAUAUAUUAAAGAAAUAUCUGUAAAAAAAAUUCACAUAAAGAAAAAUCACAUUCAACAAAUAUUCGAGAGAUGAGUAAUUGUCUCAAGUAUGAACAAUCUUCUACAGUGGUAGAAUUGAACAAUUUUUCAUAUGAAGAAAAUUAUGAUAAUGUCUCCCAAAAUUAUGAUAUAGGGAUAUAUCGGAUAUAUAGAGAUUUUAAUCCUUAGUUUUGAUAUCGGUUCAGUUUUGACAGUUUAAUAUGGAACCGAGGCCGAGAACAAACACCUAGAUACUCGGUUCGGGUGGGUUAUUUUACUUUUCGAGAACCGAGAUGGGACCGACCCGAUCACAAACAUUUCGGCUACUAGAAUAAGGCGAACGUGCACUCCAUCCAGUGAAGCCGUAAGCAACGCUCCUCUGUCUUAUGCUUCGCUUGAAACCUCUGAAAUAAUGCCCGCAUUUGCUUUCGGAGAUCACUCAACCUCUGACCUCUCAAAGGUCAGUCUUUUUCACUUGGCUUCAUUUGAAUUGUGUCGAUGGAAUAUCUAUUUGGGUUUUGCAGUUGUCCUACACAAAGCCAAAACAAAAUUCUUAGAGGGUUAGAGAUUCCGGAUUCUGGGUCUAGAGGAAUGAGGUUUCAAGUAUUAUGUUUUUCAGGAUUGAAACUUUGAUUACUGGGUUGUCUGUUAUGUUCGAGAAUAGGGGCACCAACUCAGCAACUGCCAGGCUUCAUGAAAUUUAUUUGUUGGUUAUGUUUGAACUCUGUUUAUUAAUGAAAUAAUGGGAGAUACAAAUUAACGCUCAAGAAAUUCCCUCCCAGAUGUAGGAAAUAUUGUUUUCUGGAGAAGAUGCUAAUCUGGUAUUGACCUGUUGACCUAUUGAACGUAUUAUUAGCCGUGUUGCUGCCAAAACUGGUCCUAUUACAAUUCCUGCAAAUUGUGGAAAUUUGACCAGCAUUAGGGUUAACAUUAGUUCUAUGAGAAUUCGGAGAAAUUUCCCACCUUGACUAGGACCAGGACCAGUGGACCACCCAACUCAUUAAUUCUUGAUUGAUGCAGCAGCUAUUUCGUUUGACUUGACUUGGCUGUAUGCUGUAUUAGUUAGUAGUUACUUGUAGUUCUCAUUUGCCUUAAUUUUUACGUCUUUGGAUCUUGUUCACUUGUGGAUUUUUCACUUGAGUAAAGUUUUCUACAAGUAAUUGAUGUAGUGUAUGAGCCAAUUUGGCACAGGACAGGACAUAAAUCCUAGUUGAACUUCUUGUCUUUGUCAAGAAAAAGGGAAGUAGGAUGGACCUUUGUGUCAUAUGCAAUGCAGUCUAUUGGUAUUUUGGAGUGAUUACCAAUUUGUUUGAUUGGAUUGAAGUUCAGUUUACACGUUAGCGACAAUUCAUGAGUUUUGAGGAAAUCAUACUGUAUCUUGUAUAAAAGCUAUUUGGAAUAAAACCCAAAUUUUUUUUUUCGUUCUCUCCAAUUUUUGAUUUUAAGGAAUCACUAUGAAGUUGAUAUAUCAUAUAUGGUUCAAGAUAUUGUAUUCUCAACAUCUAUUUUGGCUCACAUUACCCAAAAAUGGAAAGAUCAACGUUCCUACACUACUAGUUUUGGCGUAUGGACUUGUUUGCUUAAUUAGCUGCAAUUGCGGUUGUAUAUCAUGUGAUUGAAACAUUAGGUAGUCCGACUAGUGAGUUGAUUUGUGGUCAAAGUAAACUCUAGAAGAUGGACCAUGGUGUUCCUCAUUCAUAAAGUGAUGGUAGGCACCAAAAGCAGAGUUCCCCCAGUCAUGAUAUUUGUUUUAAAAUAAACUUUCUCUCUACAUGUUUCCUGAAGUAUUAUCAAGAAUUAUGUCAUUGAUAUUCAUGCAAUUGUUCUUUGCUUUUAGUCUUAUAUUCCUUGUUCAUGCCCAAGAUCAAACAGAUCAAACAGGUAUAAAUGUCAAUGGUGUAUUAAUGAUAUGCUAAUUAUUAUAUUUCUUUUGAUUGGAGAUUUCAUUCAUAGAAGUAUAUAGAAGCUAAGAGAGUAAAUGUGUCUGCAGGCUUCAUCAGCAUUGAUUGUGGCAUAGCUGAAAAUGUUAGCUACACUGACGUGAAUUCAGGCAUCAAGUACAUUUCAGAUGCAAGGUUCAUAGACACUGGUGAAAGUAAGUUAGUUUGGCCCAAUCAAAGAAAUAACUAUUCACAGCCAUACUGGACUCUUAGGAGAUUCCCAGAAGGAAUCAGGAACUGCUACAAAAUAGAUGUCACAAGUGGAAUGAAGUAUUUGAUUCGAGCAAGUUUCUUUUAUGGAAAUUAUGAUGGUGAUAAUAAGCUACCAGAAUUCGAACUACAUAUUGGAGCUAACUUGUGGGAUACUGUGAGGUUUAAGGAUGCAUCAACUGACAAGAAGAAGGAGCUCAUACAUACCCCCUUGCGGAAGUACAUUCAUGUUUGUUUGGUGGACAUAGGCUCUGGGAUUCCUUUUAUAUCAGCUAUAGAGCUAAGGCCUUUACCUAACGAGACUUAUCAAACACAAAUGGGUUCCUUGGAACUUGUUUCACGAUAUGACACUGGUCAAAUGGAUACUCGUAGAGGAUACAGGUGAAUCCUUGAACUCCUAGAAAAUCAUAAGUUUCUUGAUCCUUGAAUAAUAUGAUAUUAUUUAUGUUUGUUUAUCAAAUAAUGUGGCAGUGUUUCAUUUCAGGUUUCCAUUUGAUACUUUUGAUCGUGUCUGGUCGCGUGCAUAUAAUGACGUUGAGGCACAAUUAAGUACACCAUUCCCCGUUAACUCUUCUUAUCACAAUAAAUACAAUCCACCGUCCGUUGUCAUGAGUACUGCCACCACGCCGAGAGAUGAAAAUGAUCCUUUGAAUAUUUCUUGGUUGCCUUCUAAUGAUAGCAAUGCAGAAUAUCAUAUAUACAUGCACUUUGCAGAAGUUCAAAAGCUUGAACCCAACCAGUCUAGACAGUUCAACAUCACUAGGAAUGGAGAGCACUUUUAUGGACCAGUUACUCCUCCUUACUUGUACACAACUACUAUUUCUAGCCCUAAAGCUUUUGGCGGACUACAAAACAAUUUUUCAAUCUUGAAGGCUGAGAGCUCUAGUCUUCCACCCAUACUCAAUGCUUUUGAGAUUUAUAAGGUGAAAGAAUUCCUAGAACGGGAUACAGACCAAGAAGAUGGUAAGUUCUCUUACAGAAGCUUUCAUUUCUGUCCAUUAUUGCCUCACCAGUUCGGCAAAUGAGUGAUUUUGAUGGGGUUUUCUGUUUCCGUCUUACAAUACUAGUUGUUGCAAUCACAAACAUCAAGGAAACUUAUAAAAUUAGAAAAAACUGGCAAGGAGAUCCAUGUUCCCCUCAAGCUUACUCAUGGGAAGGUCUAAACUGUAGCUAUCAUGCUUACGAGUCCCUAAGACGAAUUACAACCUUGUAAGUUUGUCUUUGUGAACUUAUUGGUGUUUUCAUUUUCAUUUCAAAUGUCUUGGUGAUGUGACGAAAUAUGUAAAUAGGAACUUGUCCUCGAAUGGAUUAACAGGGGAGAUCGCUCUCUCUAUAUCGAAUCUGGCAAAGAUACAAACUCUGUAAGUAUGCCCUUAUGUGUCCAAAUGAGCAGUUACCAAUAAUGAGAAGGCACAUUCUGAAAUGAUAGAGUUUAAUUUGUCAUAAUGAGUUGUAAACGUGAUCUGUUCAUUUCAGGGAUUUAUCAAACAACAACUUAACAGGAAGUAUUCCAGAGUUUUUGUCUCAAUUACCAGAUCUAAUUUUCAUGUAAGAAAUUAUUUGGUGAUAUAGUUUGGCAGAGGAAAACUCCUUAACUGGUAACCAUAGAUAAGACAUAGUACUUUAUUUACUUUUGUAGAAACUUGGUGAAUAACAAGCUUACAGGCUCCGUUCCAGUAGGAUUAAUUGAGAAAAGGAACGAUGGUUUGCCGUCACUAAGGUAUGCAACUUACAUGAACCUAAAUUUCUACUUCAAAAACUUAUAUUGAUAUAGUCACGAGCCAGUUUUCUAUUUGUAAUGUCAAGUUUUUUUUUUUUUUUUUUCUCUCAUGAUUUUGUAAAAUGAUCGAAAAUGUUAAGAGUUAUAUAAAUCUGCAUCCUAAAUUAUAACAUGGGGAUUUAUAGCUGGCUUUUAUAAUUGAUCAUAAUCUAACUACAAUUGUCAUCAACGAUUUUGAUGUCAGUUUGUGCCAAAAUCUAAAACUAUCUGGACACGUUCCUUGCAAGUUAAAGAAGAAGCACAAUUUCGUUAUUCUUAAAGUGGUAUCCGGAAUUUUAAUCCUGUUGUCAAUUUUGGUAGCUAUCAUCUGCUGGGGCCUCAAAAGCAAAAGACAACUGGGUAAGCUAGACUUCCGAACAUAUACUGUCAUUAAUCAGUUAAACAAAGUCAAAUAACUUUUAGUCGAGGAAUAGUACGUGCUCUUAUGGUUGUUGAAUUUAAAUAACUUUGAGAUUACACAUUCAAUCUCAAUAAACAGGGUUGAUUGCUGUAUUUGUUACUGAUUCUUUACUAGAAGAGUUGUGCCUGUUCUAUACAGAACAAUCUAGUUGCUUUGAUCCUUCAAAAUGUACACAAAACAUGUAUAUGUAUGUGAAAUGUAUGUGGUUGUGUUGUGAGUGUGUGUGACCUCUGUUGUCAUGUAUAUACAUGUGUUGUAAAACAACACAGUUACAGUAAAACAUAUUUUCAUCAAACCUCUAUGGAGCAUAUCAGAAAUGACUUUCAAAGAGAACUAUAAAUUAUUAUUUACUAGUACAAAUGCAGAGUUUUGUAGCAGAAUUCAAGGGAAAAUAAAAGAUGAAGGAUGCUGGUUUUGACUUUAUAAGCUGCUGAUAAAACUUGUUGGUCUCAGGAGAUGACACAGAUGUGAAAGCCACUGUUCAAUUGGGGUCAAUGGAAUCGACAAAACGAAAAUUUACCUACUCUGAGAUACUCAAGAUUACCAACAAUUUUGAAAGGAUUCUUGGAAAAGGUGGAUUCGGAACUGUUUAUCAUGGUGGCAUAGACAAGACUCAAGUGGCCAUCAAGAUGCUUUCGCCGUCAGCAGUUCAAGGGUUUCAACAAUUUCAUGCCGAGGCAUGCUUGCCAAAAAUACUGAUGCAUAAAUCUUUUUAACGCUAUUAUAUAUAAUACAACAAACUAAUGUGUUGUGGUCUGAUAUUGCAGGUUGAUCUUCUUAUGAGGGUUCAUCACAAAAACUUGACAAGUCUAGCUGGAUACUGUAAUGAUAAAACUAGAGAACUAGAGUAGGCCUUGUCUACGACUACAUGUGCAAUGGAAACUUACAAGAACAUCUUUCAGGUUAGGGCUCAGUGAAAUUAUUCAGUAAAUUUUGUAUGCUGCAAAUAUCUUGUAUUAAUAUGGGGUUCCUUUGUAAGUUGAGACAGAAAAAAUUCUCAAAUUUUCAAUGUUUGUGGAUGUAGAUAGCAGUUCAAAUAUCUUGACUUGGGAAGAUCGGUUACGAAUAGCAAUAGAUGCUGCACAAGGUCAGCAAGUAAUUGAUCAUCGUUGUCCUUACUUAUACUCAUUUUUCUUCUCUUUUGUUUUCUUUUGUUUAUGGACUUUGUUGAUAAAUGAUGUCUCCAUUGUAUAUGGAAUUUUGUAGGACUGGAAUAUUUGCACUAUGGUUGCAAGCCGCCCAUAAUCCACAGGGAUAUCAAGUCGACAAAUAUCUUGCUGAAUGAAUAUCUUCAAGCUAAACUAUCAGAUUUUGGCCUAUCCAAAAUUUUUCCAACUAAUGAUGGCAGUCAUGUAUCAACUCUUGUUGCUGGCACUCCAGGGUACCUUGAUCCCGAGUAAGCGUUUUUUGUUUAUACUUUAUAGCUUACCCAUUAUAUUUAGCAUUACAGUUAUUGAAACAUUAGAGGAACACAUAUUAAUCAACUAGAAAAAGAUGAGUAAUGAAGUUAUGAAGAAGAAUGAAGGACUUAAAAAGUCAAAAUAGAUAGUUUGGCAAAUAUUGUACUGGUCAUCUUGAUAUCCAAUCCCUUGUAUGUGAAAAUUUUGGAUAGAUUGCUGGAAUUAUAGUCUGACAUGGUAUGCAAGCCUUAGUUGAAGAAGGCUCUGCGUUUGAAACCUGGACUUCUUAGUUAUUUGUUGGCUUGAAGGUAGACCAGGGGCUGUACCUAAGUAUUUCCUUGGGCAUGCAUUUUUAUGAUUAAACAGUGAUUGUUUAACACUUUUAGGUAGAUAUGAUACGAGUUUCAUGGUUUUGGUUUGUAGAUACUAUCUAUCAAGUAGGUUAAAUGAGAAAAGUGAUGUUUAUAGCUUCGGGAUUGUGCUGUUAGAGAUCAUCACAAGUCGACCUGUUUUAUCAAAACUACAAGAGAGAAUUCACCUUAGCCAAUGGGUUGGUUUCAUGCUCGAGAAAGGAGAUAUUUUCAGUAUUGUUGAUUCAAGGUUAAAGGACAAUUUCCAUCCUAACUCAGUCUGGAAAGCUGUAGAAAUAGCUAUGGCUUGUGUAUCUUCAAAUGCCAUCAAGAGGCCAAUGAUGAGUGAAGUGAUUGUGGAACUAAAGGAGUCUUUGGCAACAGAACUGGCUCGAACUAAGCAGAGCCAUGAAACUGAAUCAAGAGUUUCGAUGGAGAUCAUGGCUAACAAUUCUAUUGCUACGCUAACUCCCUCAGUUAGGUAGCAUGUAUCUUGCAAUACCAGAGGUUUGCACUAAUGGUUCUGUGAAUGUUAUAUGCACUUAUUCAGAGACUAAAUUUUUAGUCUAUAUCUGUAUAUGCCAUUGCAUUUGUAUUUGAAGACCUGGAUUUUGUUUAUUAAUCAAAGUGUAAACCUCUAGUUGGCAUUGUUAAACAGUGACAAACAUGGCUCACCAUUGUCUAGAUUUUGGCCCAAUUUAACCACCAGUUAAUUGUUGGGUUUUUACGUAAAGAGGCCUUUGUACAAUUAGGUGUGAUUAGGUAUUAGGGAUUAUGAACUCAAGAUUUUAAACUAUCAAAAUCUAUAGGGGGCUUGCUUAGAUCGUUCCUGCUUAAUUUUAUAUACCCAACUGUUUUGGCAAAAGAUAAUAAGAUUUGAUCAUUGCUUCUUCAACUGAAGGACAGCACCAUGUAUUGAUCUGACUCUACUAAGUACUAACUAAACAUUAAACUAUAGCAUUAGAAAUAGGAUUGCAACUUGGUGUAUAAUUUAGGGAAUUCUGAUAUGCUUUCGUUAUUAUUUCAUAUCAAGUUGCUUAUAAAGUUCUUCAGCUAGCUUGACAACUUUGUAGCAAACUGUAUGUUCUCCAAUUCUAGCAAAGUCAAAUGUCUUGUGUGUGGAAUGUUUCCUUGCUUAAUUUGGCUUUUCAAUCGGCCAAAGAUCAUGAUAUGCCUAUUACCUAACACAAUCAUGAAUUAGAUAUAUCACAGAGUUUCUUUAUGUAUUUCUGGAGGAAUGUACGUAUGUACGUACCUUGACUUUGCUGUACACAGUCUGUAGUUCCAAUCCAGACUCUGUCAAAUGUGGGAUCUGUACCUUGAUUGUGACUAUUGCUCACUGAUCUUUCCUCAAUAUAAAUUCCUUUUGAUUUGGAAAUGUACUCUGGUUUCUAUGACAUGAGUAAACACCAUCGUGGCCAGUGUGACGAAAUGCAUAUAGACGUGAGUCGGAAAAACUUGCUUCUAUAUACUGAUACAGUAUCCACUGACCAUAUAUACAUAUAUAUAUAGCUCUUACUUCAUUUACUUCUUGUUUUUCACCAAGUGUAGUCAAGGAUGUGGGGGACAUUGAUGAAUUCGUUGGUCUUCGCAGUUUUAGUACUGCUUGGUGGUUUUCCUCUCAACCUGAAGCUCCUUGUUCAUGCCCAGGAUCAAUCAGGUAUGAGUUCCCUGUUAUAAGGAAAAUGUUAGUAAUCAACGUAACUUUGAAGUAUAGAUAUAGAACUAUAGAUAUACAUGCAUUUGUAAACAUACAGGCCAAUGCCAGGCCUCUCGUAAUCUCCUAUAGAUAACACAUACAGAUCUCAUCCAUAUGUCAGGCUUCAUUAGCAUAGAUUGUGGACUGCCGGCAGAAAAUUUAAGCUAUAUUGAAAGGACAACCGGCAUCAACUAUACUUCAGAUGCCAACUUCAUUGACACUGGUGAAAUUAAGUUGGUACAUCCUGAAUACAGAGAUACAAAGCAGCAGCCAUACGAGUCUCUAAGGUUGUUUCCUGAAGGGACAAGGAACUGCUACAAAAUAAACGUUACAAGUUGCACCAAGUAUUUGAUCCGAGCAUGUUUCUUUUAUGGGAACUAUGAUGGUCAAGAUAAAUCACCUGAAUUUGAACUACAUUUUGGUGCUAAUUUGUGGGAUUCAGUGAGUUUUGAUUAUGCAUCCACAGACAUAAACAAGGAGCUUAUACAUUUUGUACCUGAUGGAGUCUCAGAUGUACAAGUUUGUCUGGUGAACACUGGCUCCGGGGUUCCAUUUAUAUCAGGGAUAGAGCUGAGGCCUUUAAAUAAUGAAUCUUAUGAAGCAGAAGUGGGAUCGUUGGCGCUUGAAUGGCGAUAUGACACAGGUCUAAUUGCUAAUAAGAGAGGAUACAGGUAGCUAUUAAUAUUACAUAACUUACCUGUUUGCAAUUCAUGAAUAUUUUGAUUUGACAUGCUAUAUGUAUGUACUGAUGAAAUAUCUAUAUUAGGUAUCCAGAGGAUAUUCAUGAUCGCUUCUGGUAUUUCUACGAAAGCCUUGACGAUUGGGAACAAUUAAAUACUUCAUCCACAAUCGACCCUCUCAAUCAGAACAUAGUCGAAUUACCAUCUAUUGUUAUGAGUACUGCUGUCAAGCCAAAAAAUGUAAAUGAGUCCUUGAAUUUUUCUUGGCAGCCUACUGAGCAAAAUGCAGAAUAUCAUAUAUUCAUGCAUUUCGCAGAAGUUGAAAAGCUCCAACCAAACCAAUCUAGAUGGCUAUACAUUACUAAAAAUGGGAAGAUGUAUAAUGACCCAUUUGAAUUGGGGUACAUGUACCCAUCUACUAGUUACAGAAGUAAAGCAAUGAGUGGAGGACAAAACUUUUCAAUCUUCAAGGUCGAGAACUCCACCCUUCCACCCAUCCUCAAUGCUUUUGAGCUUUAUAAGGUGAAAAAAUUCAUAGAACCGGUUACAAGUCAAGGAGAUGGUAAGUAAAUGAAUUCUAAUUCCUUAUGCUAGCUUUCAUAAGUUGAGAUUACUAAUUUUAUGUUUUACCCUCAACAUAAUUUGAUGUAAAUUUUGUCUGUUCACAUGCAUAAAUAUUAGUUGUUGCAAUCACACAACUCAAGUCAUUUUAUAAAAUCAGAAGAAACUGGCAAGGAGAUCCUUGUGCCCCCCAAGUUUACUCAUGGCAAGGUCUGAACUGUAGCUAUCUGAAAAGUGAUCAGGCCCUAAGAAUCAUAUCCUUGUGAGAAUUUUUUCAUACAAUUAACUUACUGAUUAUCAUUCUACAUUUACAUAUGUCUUAUUAAACUUCGGAACAUGUCAGGAACUUGUCCUCAAGUGGACUAACAGGGGAGAUUGAUCUUUCUAUGUCCGAUCUUACAAUGCUACAGACUUUGUAAGUUUUUUCUUGUCUCACUGUCUGUCAAGAUUAAUGAAUUACCAAACUAAUGACGAGGUAUUUUUUUAUUUCACCAGUAAUUCAUUCACAGAGGCUUUUCUGAACCUGUUGAACUACUCAUUUCAGGGAUUUGUCGAAUAACAACUUAACCGGACCUGUUCCAGAAUUUUUAUCUCAACUGUCAAAUUUAAAAGUCCUGUAAGCUAUUUGGUAUUGUAUUUAAAUUGAAAACCCUUAGUUAGAUAUAUAGUCUGGUGACUGGUGAGAAUAAUUUCCCUUUGCAGAACUUGGAGAACAACAAUCUCAAAGGCUUGGUUCCAGUUGGACUGAUUGAAAGAAUGAAUGAUGGUUCACUAACAUUAAGGUGUGGUUUCCUCUUGUUCUUAGAAAACCACAAGUCCACGACUUCUAAAGUUUUUCAUCAACUCCCCUAAUCGCUUGUUGAAAUUUUAAUUCAUUAACAUAGAGUCAUAAACGCCACACCAGUCUUUUAAUGAGCUUUAAAUUUCUUUUGUAUUUGUUCAUGUAAACUGUACUAGUAUAUAUUGGGAAUUAUAUACAGUUUCUAUAUUUAGAGUCCUCAUGGUACUCAUAGUCGAGUCUUUUGUAUUAACGUUGUGUACUUCAUUGCACAAUGACAAGGAGAAUAUAAGAUUAGCUCAUUUUUCUGUGCUCAUUAGUACUGUCAAAAUCUUUGGUUCCAUUUCAUGAUCUCUUCUUUCAACUUCGAUGAAUUAUACUGGUUCUUUCUCCUAUUUGAAAUGAUCACCAGAGUUCAAUGAGAAAAUAUGAGUCUAGAGGCCAAAUUCAGUGAACAAAUUUAUUUCAGGAUUUUCUAUGUAAUCUUUUCUGAUGACUGCUGGGAAUAUACUAGUGGUAAUAAUAAUUGAUCAAAAUCUUAUAACAGUUUCCUUCAACCAUUUUGUUGUAGUUUGUGCCAAAAUCCAAAUGUAUCUGGACUUGUUUCUUGCACGAAGAUGGAAAAGAAGAAGCCAAAGUUCUUAACUCCGGUAGUUCUGUCAAUUGCUGGAGUGUCAAUCUUCUUAUUAACUAUAACAGCUAUCUUGUGGGGUUUAAGAAGGAAAAAGAAACAUGGUAAGACUUCAUAGAUAAUGAAAGGAUGGUCAUUUUCAUCAGUGCUUUCAGUUCUAAUAUGUGUCUUUUAAUUUCUUUUGCUGAUUAAUAAAAAACGGAUUUCUCUGAAAAGGUGAAAGCAUGGAUUCUGAUUAAGCUUGACUUAAUAUUUGGAAAGUACAGAUGCAAAAUCCAAAACUGAGUUAGGAUCAUUGGAGUCAACUAAACGACAAUUUACGCAUUCUGAGAUCCUGAAAUUCACCAACAACUUGAAAAGGACUCUUGGGAAAGGUGGAUUUGGAACAGUUUAUCAUGGUUACAUAGACAAAACUCAAGUAGCCAUUAAGAUGCUUUCGCCAUCAUCAGUUCAAGGUUUGCAAGAAUUUCAUGCAGAGGCAGGUUUAUCAAAUAACGAAACGCAAUCUUUGUGAGCUCAACAGUAUACAAACAAUUAACCUGUUGUGAUUGUUGCCUCUUUAAUUACAGGUUAAUCUUCUGAUGAGAGUUCAUCACACAAACUUGACCAGCCUUGUUGGAUAUUGCAAUGAGGAAUCCAAUAUAGGGCUCGUCUACGAGUAUAUGGCCAAUGGAAACUUACAAGAACAUCUUUCAGGUUUGGCUGCAUUUGAAUUUAUUUAGUACUGACAUUCAGCAUUUCUUAAUUAUAUAUACUUUCUAUGGAUUUAGAUGACAGUUCCACUAUUUUGGGUUGGGAAGAUAGACUUCGGAUAGCAGUAGAUGCUGCACAAGGUUAGCAACGUGAUGAUAUAUUUUGGUCCAUGUUUUACCUCUUGAUUUGUAGACUGUUUUGUGAUGAAUUUUGAAAUGUAGGAUUGGAGUAUCUGCAUAAUGGUUGUAAGCCACCUAUAAUUCACAGGGAUGUGAAAUCAGCAAACAUCUUGCUGAGUGAAAAUUUCCAAGCCAAAGUAGCUGAUUUUGGCCUAUCCAGAAUUUUCCAUACAGACCUUGUAACUCAUAUAACAACUGGUAUCGCUGGUACUCCCAGGUACCUUGACCCUGAGUGAGUACUACUUGAUAUUAAUUCUAUUUGACUGACCAUCAUUAGUGUUCAAAUUAAUCUUUAUUUUUCAAACUUCAAACCAACGUUGUAAUUAGUGAAAUCAUUGUGAUUCGUGUUGCAUGGUUUGGUUUUGCUGCAGGUACUACCUAACAAGCAGGUUAAAUGAGAAAAGUGAUGUUUAUAGCUUUGGGAUUGUGCUGUUGGAAAUUAUCACAAGCCGACCUGUUAUAUGGGGAACUGUUGAGAGAAUUCACAUUAGUCACUGGGUUGCUUCCAUGCUUGCACAAGGAGACAUUUACAGUGUUGUUGAGCCAAGACUGGAGAGAAAUUUCAGUCCUAACUGUGUGUGGCAAGUUUUGGAGAUAGCAAUGGCAUGUAUAUCUCCAGACCCCAUCAAAAGGCCAAUGAUGAGUCAGGUAGUGAUGGAACUGAAGGAGUGUUUGGCAAUCGAACUGGCUCGAACAAAGCAGACAAGAAAUGAAACUGAUCUAGGACAUUCCACUGAGAGAUUGUCUCAGAACGAGUCGAUCAGAGUACAUCCCUCAGUUAUAAGGACUUAAUUCGUCUAAUCUUUAUCGGGAAGGUAAUCAGGUUGCAUAUCGAUCAUGUUGAAGUCUAUAGGGCUACUCAUCAGGUUCUGCCGAUUAGUUAGUAAUUUUUUUUUUCAAGUCCUUAGCAGGGUAAGGUCUGUGACCACCCCCUUACUCAUCGAUCAAAAUUCAAAAUUCGUAUCUGGUUUCUCAGUUGAAUUCAAGCUGUGUUAAUUUAAAAAAAAAAAAGGCAUGGAGGGAUUGCACCUAUUUCAAAAUUAUUAAUUUGCAUAAAUGCUUGCAUGUUCGUCAUUACAAGAAGUCACCUUCGACUGAUGUGGCCCUUAAUGGAGGUUUGAUCACGUACCUGAACAACAAUUCACCUUUUGACGCACAAAAUUGGAGAUCUAUAAAAAUCAAAUGCAUAUAUAUCUCUUCAACACUUUUGAGAAAAUUAACAUACAUGGGCAACAAGAACGAGGAAGCCUUUAACCAUCUUCACUUACAAGUAGCACUUCUGCAAUCUGCAUGUAGUGCCUCCAUCUCCCAAUCAAUAUCAUCCUUCAAUUUGUUACAGGAGUUUCUGAUCAACCAUCCAUUCUUAACUGUCCGGCCAUCCAUCCAUUCAUCACAGCUAGCUAAGACAUGCACCCUGCCAAAAGGACAACGAUCAAUUAUCCAUACUCAUCUAGCCAUAGCAUGCAUUUGGAAGUUCGAGGCCAAUAAAUUAAUCGGACCUCUGAUGUGCACAAAUUUAGCUAUUUCAGUUGCAGAAAUAUACUUCGUGAGAAAAUGAAAUAAAUGUGAAGUACUGUCCGCCACUCCGCCCGAUAGUUCUGCACAAAUCGGAAAGUUUGUUGUGCCAUAAAAUGUUCAACUCGUACAAUCUUACUACAUAACAGGGGAACAUGAGUUUAAGAUCAGCUCAGCAUCAAACCCAAAGGAGCUACGUACGUACCCCAAAAACACAUCAUGACAAGGCAAAGUUUAUGCUAAUAUUGAAAUGAGAAAAUCAUCACAAGUCGUCAGUUGGUAACAGCUUAAGGUUGAAAAUCGAUCUAAAGACAAGGUAAGAUUGAUCCCAUCAACAUUGACCGAGUAUAAAUCUCGACCACAUAUUGGCGAUUUAGAGGGGAAAAAAACGUUUUAACAUGAUCAAUCGGCACAAAAUAGUCCCUAGCUCUAGAAACUUGAAUAUAUGGAAAUGUGAUGAAAAAAUUUAAAACAUUUCAUUCGUUAUUUUGUCUCUAAAUUUAUAUUAAUUUAUUCUAUAGUUUUAGUCAAUGGUAGAUAUAUAGCAUAUAUCCGCAAACUUUAAAAAUGUAGAGAUAAUAUAUAUAUAUAUAUAUAUAUAUAUAUAUAUAUGAUGAAGGAAGAAGUGUAGAGACAAAGAGAUAGCAAGAGAAUCAUCAUCUUAUUCAUUGAUAUGAGCCAUUUAUAUAAGGAAUUACACAAUACCAAUAUGGUAAGGAUAUGAAUACAUAGAUCUAGUCUAAUUACAUAUCCUAUUGGCAUAAGGCCAAGGCACACAUAAAGAAUAUCUAAAAAGAUACAGAAUAUCCUAGAACACUUCCCCUUGUGCCGCGCGCUGAUAUGCCGAUGGUGCUGAUCUGUUGCCUCGCCAAGUCACAAAAACCCUGUGGGAGAAAAACUGAACCUUGAUCGUAGGAGAAAAAGAGUACAACGCACCCUUCACAUUUGAUAGUGACAUGUAUGUAUGUGUUAGACUCCCCCUAAAGUUUGCACCUCCCCUUGAUCUUUACAUCAAUCAUAGGGCUCUUCCUGAUUUUUACUAAUCACAGAAGUUUCAACAACUUAGCAUGUCAAUGCUCUGUAACAUGUCUUCAAAUGUGGCAUUGGGCAAUGAUUAACUAAAUCAUGCCGCAUUGUCCUCAAAUAAUCUUUUACACUUAGAUCUUGAGGAGAAGGCCGCUUGUGAACUCAAAACAUAAGUUCGUGCAGAAAAUCAGAUUUCCGCUCAGCAUAACCUUCAGUUACUAGAACAAUCGUAACUUUCUCUAGGAAAUACAUAUGAACGAACCGUAAAUGGUUUUGGAAACUAGACUCAUUUAGCUUUCCAACCAUAUAUUACACACGUUCUGGUUCAUCAGGAGCUAUUCACAAAGUCCCGUCGAAGUUGACUGUUUUGCCAAAAUCAGAUUCUCGGACAGAUUCGUCCUACUUUAUGAAAAUGGCCAUAACUCAGUCAAUAUGAUAGGUAUGAUCAAAUAGUUGGUGUCCCUGGAAAGUAGACACAUAGAUCUUUCCAAUGGUACCAAUUUCACCAUUUUCCAGUGAGUGAGAUUUCAUGUAGGUCCCGUGGAAGUUGACCAACAAAACUUUGCAGAUUCUGAUUUCGCUUUUGAUGUGUCUUUCUUAUGUAGGGAUAGAAUAAGCCUCAACCUUUCAUACCAUUAAGUAUUGAAAAAAUAGUUACUGUCAUUACAUUGGCGUUGCGUGGGCGCAUAGCUACACUUAGCUUUACAACUUUUCAUAGCGAAUGAGAUGUCAAGUCUUUCGUAUUGUGUUGAGUACAUUGAUGCGUCUUAUUGUACUUAGAUUUAGAUGGGAACUCCAUCUCUUAACACAUAUUUGUCAUCUUGCUUUAGACAAAACAACGGAUCUCUCUUUAGAGCAAAGACCUUGACUAAUCAUGGGAGUAUAUAUGGGCCUCACUAGUUAUAAAGUUCCUAAGCCGAUUGAUGGAAAAUCAUCAUCAAUAUAGUCAUCGAGUGCCUUAUCGAGACCGUGUCUUCUCAAGAUCUUUUUCUUCGGAUGUUGAUACAUAUUGACAUCUCUUAAUCCAUCAAGAGUCUAUGUAAAUCAGGAAUGAACACGCAAAGGCAAAAUUCACCAUAUCCCUUCCAAAUCAAGUAGAGUCCAUGUGCGUUUCAAUACAUUUAGCAAACGCAUGCUCUUGUGGUUUCGAGCCACUUGAUUCAGAUGAAUGAAGUCUGUUUAAGACCUUCAUGUAUAUCUCUGAUCCCAUAGAGAUGUUAUUAUGACCACAUUCAUAGGCUGCAUGUUCAAUUAUUUGGAAAUUACCAAACUGACAAAGUAGUGGAGUUCAAUGACAUCCAUUAUGAGAGCAUAUCUCAUCGUAAUCGAUCUCAGUGCGUGUUAGUGAGACCUUACACCAUAAGGUGAGUCUAAGCUCUUGUUCUCACAACACUAUCUAACAAAGGUAUAGUUGAUAGGGUUUAGCUUGCGGUGUCGGCAUCACCUGCCUAAGGACCUAUCUCUUUGUUAAUGCUGGAUCGCAUCUUUCCAUUAGGCCAAUCAACUAAGUUGAUAUCCAUCAACGAAAGGUGGUUCGAUAAUAGACUCAUUAUCCCACGUCCUCAUGUACACUAGUGUAAUACUUGUAGAGAUCUCUAUAUGGAUUGAAUUUGACAUUGAGGCAUCCCCCAAUGAUAAUCACAAUUCAGACUUCAUGAGACGGAUUUGAGUAUCACUGAUCAAUGGAUCAGGUUGUGCCAAGCUCGCUUUCUUCCUAGUGCAAGAAAAUAUCGAAUUUAAGGGCCUCCCUCCUUUUAGGGAGCCACACGGCCUUGUGACACCAAUUUUGCCACUAUAUGAUGUCACCAUAUCACCAUCUAUGUUGAUGGCGUCAAGACCAACUCAUUUUGGUCGCGCCGCGCCAUGUCGUCCUCUUGAUAGGACAUCAAUCCUUGCAGACAUAUUUGCAGCAUGUGAUCUCGUCACUUUAACACUUUAAGCAUUUGGGAUCAAGAUGAGACUUAGUGGGGACAAACCACGACAAUUCACGUUGUUCCACUUAAACACUUGUAUUCUUAUCUCCCUUUAACGGUGGGAAUAUUGUCUCAUCAAAGUGACAAUCUGCAAUUUAGCUGUGAAUGAGAUCCCCUAACAAGGUUUCUACAUAUGCAGAUUUAUAGGUGGAGGUUCAUAUCCAACCUAAGUACUUCUUCAUCUCAAAUGACCCAUCAUUGUACGUAGUGGCAAUUCGAUUUGGCACCUAGAAAUAACAUUUAGCCGAGCUCAAGGAUUGGAGAUCCGUUUCAAUCUUAUUUGAGCUCAAGGAUUGCAAUCCUGGUACACAGUCACGAGCUGUAGUAUAAAAAUAUUCAAUGAUGGUGGGUCGUAGAUGAAUAGUAAAACUGCAUGCAAAUAUUACAUAGCCCCAAGACGCAAUAGAAAGAUUGGUGCGCAUCAAUAAUGUUCAAGAGACAAGCUAAAGUUGCUUGGUCAUAGCCUCGGUGAGACCGUAUUGCAUGUCAACAUGGGGUACAGGACACUUCAACUUACAUCCCGAUAAACUUCUUUAAAUAAUAGGUAGUGAGCCCGUAGAAGUAUAAGCAGCAUAAGCAGUAGAUAACAGUGUAACACGUGACCAGUGUGUUACCACUUCAACCAACACCAUAAAACAUAAAAAGGUGUCCGCAAGUUGGUUGUAUCUAUCUACAUAGUUUGAUGUAAGAAUAGAAUGUUCACUUUUGUGUUAUUUAGCGUAGGAGGGUCUCACUCCUAAUUUAGCUAAAGAAUAGGCUUUCAAAACGAGUAAUGAGAAUUACAGGGGGCCAAUGCGACAUCGAGGGAAGGCCGGUGCACCUCAAUUGCUUGAGGAAUUGACCGGAAAACCUCCAGGAAGUUGGAAUCGUGUUCGGGUGACGUCAAUGUCCCCCGGGUCACCACCAUGCUUCAUGGUGAUGCUAGAUCUCGAAUGUCUUCGUUUUGAGCGGAAGAAUGGAUGUCCAUGAGAAUUUCUCAAAAUCUGAACCAUUAUAUCUCUUCCAGGUUGACCAAUUUGGUCAAACCAAAGCCUAUAUGAGUCGGUGUCCUAAAUAUCAUGUUUGGUGACAACAUGGGAUUCGAUAUUCGAAUAUAUUCGAAUCGUAGUGACAUAUAGUCCACUAGAUUGACUCAUGAAUUUCUCCAAGAUGUGCUUCAGUCCGCAUUCAUGAGAAGGUGUAAUACACAAAAGAAUUCUUGUUCAUUCUCACAAUGUGUUUUCAAAUGAAAACUAUUAGCAGGAAUGUCUUUAAAGCUCAAUAUGGUUCGAUUGCCUCUCAAUGCAUAGAGGGUAUCUGUAACAUUGAUCAUGGUGCCAUGAGGCAUCAAGAUUAAAGCUAAACCACGUCCCAGAAUGACCGGUAUGAUUCAAUCAUUGUAGUCACAAGAGAUUUACAAAGGCAUAAAAUCCAAAAAUAGUUGCCGGUUCCUUAGAAUGUUGUGGAUAGUUCCACUAUCUGCGAAGCACUCAAUGUCUCAAUGAGACAUACCUACAAGGAGUAGAUAGGCGAGUUAAUAGUUCAAGUCUGAACCAUUUAGAAGGAUUGAAAAAAAGCUACGAAAAGCUACAAUCCCGAGAGUGCAUAAAAAUUUCAGCGUAUAAUGAUCUUUGCGUACUAAAACAGCCAUAACUUCUUCGUUAAACUAGAUAUGGAAAACCGCAAAAAGUUUUGAAAACUAGACUCGUAGAGCUUUCCAAUGAUAUAAAGCUCACUGUCUGGUUCGUCCGUUGUUGUUCACAAAGCUCAAACGAAGUUGACUAUCUAGAAGGGACAAAUUGCUGUUUUUCGCAGAAUUGGUAUGUGCGAAGCUGUGAAGCUUGCAGGUGGCGUGUAGGCUUUUACCUUAGCCAAAAGUGACGCGUGUAUGAUCAAAACCAGGUCCUUUCAGUCGUUCUAAGAUCGUAAACUCCAUGACUAGUUAGCAAAAACUCCCUGACAUGAACAUAAACUAACUCAGAGGACCUAGAGGAUUCGAUCAUGAUGAUAAUUUUCUGGUUUUGAUAAGUCUUCAACGUCUUUUGCAAGACAACAAUUAGUUUAAUAGCGUAGGGGGAUCCAAAAUCAAAAGCUUUCAGUAACUCCAAGUCAGUAUGACUAGGCAUAUCCAUGGAGGAGGGCCGGUAGUACGAGGCACACUUGAAACCAUUAUCUCCUUAAUUUCGAACAAUUCUAAGACAUCACACUAAGCUUGGAUGAGCCUAGUUGAACAAUUGAUGAUGGAAAAUCCGCUAAAGGGUAGAAGACUUAAUCGGAAACACAUUAGCGAUCCUUCUUGAGGAUGCAAGGCCGUGUGUCAUCUUCACUUGGAAGAGACCAAAACGGCGCAAUCUAACCAUGUAGAUUGUAAACAUGUCAUGCUUCUAAGGACGAUGUAAAAAUGUACAUCUUGUUUAUAAAUCAAUACAAACCAUAAGAGGAGAAUAGUUUCAUAACUUCGAAAAAAUUCUCAAGGCAUUUAUUAUUGCUAAUGUGAGUACAUCGAGGUAUCAAAUAGACGAAGGAUGUCGAUACAACGCCUUAGUACAUAUAGCUUGGAAUGAAAAUCAAUGUCUAGCCGAUGACGUCAAAGUCAUGGGUAGCUAGAGCAGGAUCUGAAUCUUUGAAAUUCGCGAUCAUGAGGAUGACGUUCUUGUCCUCAUAUUGAUUUUCCAUACCUUUUUGUAUGCAUUCACAAUUUGAAGGAGUUGGACAAUUUUGAACCAGUGAUCCGAAGAUCUACAACGGUUGCAUUGUCAUGAGCUGACGUGAGUAGUUUUGACAAAAUUGUGUCUAGACCGGGAGUGUCGCUAUUAGAGCCGGCGACACCUCCCCCUCUUUUCUAGACAUCGGCACGACGUUUUCUGCCGUUGCCGUGACCCAUAUUGUUGUCUCCACAUUAGGGGAUAAUCCCAAAUAAGUUUAUCACAUUAGCGUAUAUACAAUUCUCGUUUGUAUGAUCAAAAUCAAGUCUCAUUGGUAAUUCCAAACUAACUUGGAGGACCUAGAGAACUUGAUGAUGAUCGAAUCCGCUAAAGAUUAUGGAUCAUGAUGCCAUAAAAGAUCAUCGACAAUAUGUAGUCAAUUAAGGUGGUAAGCAAUUCACUUGACUAAUAACUCAACAAGUAGAGUUAUAUGAACGUUUCAAGAAACACUCCAUGAGUGCAUUCCACAGUACUUUGUGGUCAUUACUUUUUGCAUAGAUUGUCAUUAAAGGCUUUUGUCGAUGUGGCGCUUCAAAGAUUUUGAGCGCAUAAGAUGUGAAAUCUCGGCAUCUAGGCUUGUUAGCCUGGGGGUCAAAACAUGUGGUUUUAAUCCUUUCCAAUGAAAGGUUCCACAGAUACCAAGCGAAGAUCCGCCUUAGGCAUCUAGUACGUCAAAACUCAAAGGAGCAGAAUGUUACAUUGCUCUUGCAUACAAAACCAAGCUGUUAUGAGACUCGAUAGAGGUCACAAACAAUGCUUUUAAUGGUUUGUCCUUCGGAUUGCUCACACACAAUCCGGAAAAGCCGCGAAUUGAUCAAACACAAUUCGGAAAAAGGCCUCGGAUUGAUUAAACACAAUCCGGUGAUAGGUCGGGGUUGAUCAUACACAAUCCGGUGAUAGGUCGGGGUUGAUCAUACACAACCCGGACAAGGAAACAAGAGUUGAUAACACACUCUUGACCCGCGAAUAAAAUUCCAGGAUUUUUGGUACCUGCACACACAAAAUCCCAAGCAUAGAAUGGAGAUGGAGAAGGGAGAAAAGAUUUUAUCCCUCCGAGUUAUUCCAAAGUAAAUAACUGUAAUAUUAAAGCUUACUUAUUAGUUUGUAAAAUAAACUGCGUUUAUAGGAGCUCUGAUGAGUUUGAGUCGAUUGCAGGCUUCGACCGAGGGUUGGGAACCUUUCUGGUUUUCCUUGGAAGACGAGCAAUCUUAAAAUCUUUGAUUUCUAGAGGCUGCCGAGAGGAGAAACAACGUUUCGCCUACUUCUACUUCGAAUUUGGGGCUGAAAAUCUGACACGACGAGCAGCUCUAGAUGAGGAAGCUGCUUUCACAAAUUCAGGUUGAUCGGAGCAAGGGAAGGUGGUGAACCGGUGGUCGGUAUCGGCGGCGGUCUGGAAUCUUCCGGCGGCCGGUUCGGAGACUUUCCGGCCGGUUCUCAGGGUGAGGCCAGCGGUGUUGGAUCCGGGACGAAGACAACUUUCUGGGGAUAUAAAAUUCCGGCAGAGGGCAGUCGGAAUUUUGGUCAGAAAUCGGGAAAAACAUGGCUGCCCGAUUUUAGGGUUUUGGAAAAUAAAUGGUGGGCUAUUGGCUCUAGGGUUAGAACAAAGUGCAUGAUAACAUGAUAAAGGAUAAAGUGUAGAGACAAAGAGAUAGCAAGAGAAUCAUCAUCUUAUUCAUUGAUAUGAGCCCUUUAUAUAGGGAAUUACACAAUACUAAUAUGGUAAGGAUAUGAAUACAUAGAUCUAGUCUAACUACAUAUCCUAUUGGCAUAAGGCCAAGGCACACAUAAAGAAUAUCUAGAAAGAUACAGAAUAUCCUAGAACAAUAUAUAUAUAUAUAUNNNNNNNNNNNNNNNNNNNNNNNNNNNNNNNNNNNNNNNNNNNNNNNNNNNNNNNNNNNNNNNNNNNNNNNNNNNNNNNNNNNNNNNNNNNNNNNNNNNNNNNNNNNNNNNNNNNNNNNNNNNNNNNNNNNNNNNNNNNNNNNNNNNNNNNNNNNNNNNNNNNNNNNNNNNNNNNNNNNNNNNNNNNNNNNNNNNNNNNNNNNNNNNNNNNNNNNNNNNNNNNNNNNNNNNNNNNNNNNNNNNNNNNNNNNNNNNNNNNNNNNNNNNNNNNNNNNNNNNNNNNNNNNNNNNNNNNNNNNNNNNNNNNNNNNNNNNNNNNNNNNNNNNNNNNNNNNNNNNNNNNNNNNNNNNNNNNNNNUGAAUUCUGUCCGGUUCAGGUAUAUAACAGAAAAACGCAAGUUUGAGGGCCUUAACGAUCACCAAAUUGGCUGAACUUUGCAGAGAUGAUUUACACAAGAUGAUCUAGAUAUGUCUAGAAGGAAGUUUGAGGAAAUUCGAUCGGAAAGUGGUACAAAAAUGGAAAUCCGCACCAAAACUUUGGUGCGGACGUCCGCAACCGAGAAGGCCUGUAUAUAUAUAUAUAUAUACAGUCCUCUUCCAGAAUGAGAUCCCUCUUUGAAAUUAAAGUGCGAGACUCCUUAUUUCGCUCACUUUCAGGUCAUUCCUGUAAAGUUUCAUCAAAUUUGAAGAGCAUUUAAGCUUCCGUAAUCGUAAUUUACACGAACGGUUCUGUUUGGACAACUUUUGUUUUGUUGAUUUAUUUAAUCUAAUUCGGUACCCAAAUGAUCUUCGAAUUUGAUGAAACUUUGUAUGAAUGAUCUACACACUGUGUUUUAUAUAUUAUACAGUUGAGAUGUAGAAAUAUGACCUGAAAGUGAGCGAAAUAAGGAGUCGCGAAAUAAUGAUCUACACCAUUCAAUUUUGCUAUGAAUUUACAAUGAUGCAGAAACCCAAAUAAGUGAUCGAGCACACCUUUUCUAUGUCCGUUCGACUUCACUUUUAUGUUUGAGCAACGACAGCAGCAAACAAAGCAAGAAAGCUCCUGUGUUUGGAAUACAUAAGAUCAAUCAAAUUAUCAGGUGGAUCAAAUAAUCCAUGAGGCAAAGAAAAAAAAUUCUUACCUGAGAUGAAGCAAUUAGCAGAGAGUGAGAACACGUUUUGUGAAGAAGAUGAGUAGUUGGGAGACGUAAAAGGAGGAAGACGAUGAGGGGAGAUAUUUUGGGUAGUGGAGUUCAACUGAACAACCGAUUGGUUUUGAACUCUGAAAUUUUUAUCCUCCCAUUCAAUUGUUUCUAUCCUUUUGUAAUAUUUCCUGAUUUGUAGUUUACUGUUGUAUCCUUUUAUUAUGUUGUUUGUUUUGUUUGGUUUAAUUUUAGAGAGGGGUAAUAAAAGUAAUUAAGCAAGUGGCAGUUCC